UUUUUUCUUUUCUUUUGUUUGUCGCUGCCCGGUUUAGAAGUUCAGAACAUCCCGUCGGGCCCAUAUAUAUAGGGUCGGGCUAUUCGUCACCCUGGGUGAGGAAUAGUUAUUCUUCACCCCCCCUCUAUUUUACUAUCAAUGCACCGUAAUUUUACGUUCCGUAAGUUUUGUCUUAUUUCCAGCGCAAAAAGGGACCGUAAGAAAAUAUAUAAUCGCCGUAAAAAAUAUUUUAUGUUAUGUAAAAUUACAAACAUAAAAACAUAGUCUAAAAUACACAUAAACUGUAAAUUUUCUUGUCUUAUAAACUAUAUUUUUAUUUUCUUAUGUCAAAUUUUACGUAGUGAAUCAAUAGGAAUGUAACUAUUUGAAUUUGAAAUGUAAUUUAAUUAUGAAAUGAUCGUAAGAUUACCUCGGAUGAAAAAUAACUUAUUCUGCAGCCUGGGUGAUGAAUAGUAACACUAUAUAUAUAUUGUCAUAUGAUCUCUUAUGCUAAAGUAACAAUUCAAUCACAAUUUCAAGUAUGAAUUAGAAACUUUAUCGAGAACCAACAAACUAUAAUCUCAGUCAUUGAAGCAAUUGUAAUUUAUCAUAACAUAGAAAAGAGUCAAUAUAAGAGCUUUUCAGGAAUUCCACAUACUCAACUAUCAUUUAGUCUUUCACAAUUGCUAACACUCAUGUGAUAUUUAUGGUUAUGAAGUUUUAAUCGGACACAGAGAAAGAUAGGGGCUUAUAGUUUUGCCUCCCAACCUUUUACCUCAAGGGUAAUGUCAACAAUAAUAGUUCAUGAAAACUCACAUCCUAUUAGCCAUAUAUAUCAGGAUCUUUCCAACACAUUGUGCUUGCCAAAGAUAAAAUGUAAAAAGGAAAGGUGAAGAUCAUCAUGACUCUUGUAUGAAGUAUAAGACAAGAAUAAAAUAUAGGCCCUUUGCAGAUGGAAGCAGAGGUUGUCAUGUGAUUUUAUGGUUGGAUGCACAAAAUCUUAAUGCGAAAGAACGUCACUUUAUAUUGCCACUUGUGAUAUGGACCUUGUCGGUGUCAAAACCGGCUGAUCUCGGGUAGGGGGUCCCGAACUGUGCGUCUAAGGCGGAUGGUUACAGGAGGCAGGGGACACGAUGUUUUACCAAGUUCGGGCCCUCUUGAUGGAGGUAAAACCCUACGUCCUGCUUGAUUAAUAUUGAUGAUAUGGGUAGUACAAGAGUAGAUCUACCACGAGAUCAAAGAGGCUAAACCCUAGAAGCUAGCCUAUGGUAUGAUUGUAUGUUGUCCUAUGGACUAAAACCCUCCGGUUUAUAUAGACACUAGAAAGGGCUAGGGUUACACAAGGUCGGUUACAAAGGAGGAGAUAUACAUAUCCGUAUUGCCUAGCUUGCCUUCCACGCCAAGUUGAGUCCCAUCCGGACACGAGACGAAGUCUUCAAUCUUGUAUCUUCAUAAUCCAACAGUCCGGCCAAAGGAUAUAAUCCGGCUGUCCGGAGACCCCCUAAUCCAGGACUCCCUCAGACCUUUAUUAGGUAGUCCGUCGCUUUUAUUUCUUCCACAUCACAAGAUCGUAUAAAGCUUAUUUUCUCCACACUAAUAAAUCCUACAUAUUUAGAGAGCAAUUUUUAUUGCUUGCAACGAUGACAACUUACUUGAAGGAUCUUACUCAAUCCAUAGGUAGAUAUGGUGGACUCUCAUGGCAAAACUAGGUUUAAGGAUAUUUGGAAGCACAAGUAGUAUCUCAACUUGGUGCAAAGAAUUUGGCUAGCAUGAGAGGGAAAGGCAAGCUCAACAUGUUGGAUGAUCCAUGACAAUAUAAUUUAUUUCAGAUGUAAGAAAACAUAACCCAUUACGUUGUCUUCCUUGUCCAACAUCAACUCUUUAGCAUGUCAUAUUUUAAUGAGUGCUCACAAUCAUAAAAGAUGUCCAAGAUACUAUAUUUAUAUGUGAAAACCUCUCUUUCUUUAUUACUUCCUAUUAAUUGCAACGAUGACCAAAACUUUGUUUGUCAACUCUCAACAACUUUUAUUCAUCAUACUCUUUAUAUGUGAAGUCAUUACUCUCCAUAAGAUCCAUAUGAUCUCUUUAUUUCUUUUUAUUCUUUAUCUUUUAUUUUUAUUCCCUCAAGAUCAUAGCAAGAUAAUCAAGCCCUUGACUCAACACUAAUCUUUAUUAUAUAUAGAUCACGGACUCGAUUACACAGAAGGAUCAUAAAGCAAAACUCAAAACUAGAUCAUACUAAAACUUUAUUCUACUAGAUCAAGAUAUUACCAAAAGGAUCGAACUAAGAAAAAUGGCAAAGAUAAAAGUGUGACGAUGAUACGAUACCGGGGCACUCCCCCAAGCUUGGCAGUUGCCAAGGGGAGUGCCCAUACCCGAUACUCAGUUCUCCUUUGUUGGUGAAGAAGGUGUUGGUGAUGAUGGAUAGUCGCACAUCGAGCGUAGGAGGUCCUCCAAUUUGCGGAUAAUGCCCUUGAGUGCGAUGAUAUGAUCCUUCAACAAAAUAUUUUCACUCAUGAGAUACUUGUUUUGAAUGCGAGCUAACUCAAUCAUCUUGAAAACUUCAAUCUCCGUUGGGGUAAAGAGAUUAUGAUGAGGUUGAAGGAUGUCUUCUUCUACUACUGCCGGAACUUGAUCCCCCACGACCUUCUUGAUCCUGUCAACCUUGUUGAUCUCUUCGAUCCCUUAUCUCUUCAACUCUAUCUUCAUUAGCCAAGCAUCAUUGCCCUCAUUGUUGGAGGAGGAGGGAGACGACAUGAUGCCUGGCCUUAACAACCCUAGCAGAAAACAGCUCGAAACAAAAACAUGAGAUUUUUGCGUGGUACAGUGGUCAAAACCUUCGGGAGAUUAUACAAUGAUUUUGUACUGACCAAAAGAAGUAUCGUGCAAGAAAACGGAGUCCGGAGAGCACACGAGGUGCCCACAAGGCAGGGGGCGCUCCCUCCACCCUCGUGGACGCCUCAUGUCCUUCCCGGACUGCUUUUUAUUUUCCUAUUUUCUUAAAUAUUCCAAAACAGAGAAAAAUGCUAUUGGAACUGUUUUGGAGUCAGUUUACUUACCGUACCACACACCUAUUCCUUUUCGGAGUCUGAAACGUUCAGGAAAGUGUCCCUUAUGUAUUCCUCCAGGGUUAUAGUUUCAAUAACAUUAGUUUCAACAUUUAUGGGAUUACCUGAGAUGGAAUGUUUGGUUCUUUGACCAUUCACCACCCUCGGAUUUGUGCCUUCGAAGUUGUUGAUUUUUAUGGCAUCGGAGCGGCAGACCUCCUCAAUGACGUAAGGACCUUCCCAUUUAGAGAGGAGUUUUCCUGCAAAAAAUCUUAAACAAGAGUUGUAUAACAAUACAUAAUCACCUAUAUUAAACUCACGCUUUUGUAUCCUUUUGUCAUGCCAUCUUUUAACUUUUUCUUUAAACAGUUUGGCAUUCUCAUAAGCCUGGGUUCUCCAUUCAUCAAGUGAGCUAAUGUCAAAAAGCCUCUUCUCGCCGGCAAGUUUGAAAUCAUAAUUGAGCUCUUUAAUGGCCCAAAAUGCCUUAUGUUCUAGUUCGAGAGGUAAGUGACAUGCAUUUCCAUAAACCAUUUUAUACGGAGACAUACCCAUAGGAUUCUUAUAUGCAGUUCUAUAGGCCCAUAAUGCAUCAUCAAGUUUCUUGGACCAAUUCUUCCUAGAUCUAUUAACAAUAUUUUGCAAAAUUAAUUUAAGCUCUCUAUUACUCAAUUCUACUUGACCACUAGACUGUGGAUGAUAUGGAGAUGCAAUUCUAUGAUUAACAUCAUACUUAGCAAGCAUAUUACUAAAAGCACCAUGAAUAGAAUGUGAACCACCAUCAGUCAUUAAAUAUCUAGGGACUCCAAACCUCGGAAAAAUAACUUCUUUAAGCAUCUUAAUAGAGGUGUUAUGAUCAGCACUACUAGUUGGAAUAGCUUCUACCCACUUAGUAACGUAAUCAACAACAACUAAAAUAUGUUUAUACCCAUUAGAGGAAGGAAACGGUCCCAUAUAAUCAAAGCCCCAAACAUCAAAUGGUUCAAUAACAAGUGAAUAAUUCGUAGGCAUUUCUUGACAUCUACUAAUAUUACAAAUUCUUUGACAUUCAUCACAAGACAAGACAAACUUACGGGCAUCUUUGAAGAGAGUAGGCCAAUAAAAACCGGAUUGCAAUACCUUAUGUGCAGUUCUAUCUCCAGCGUGGUGUCCUCCAUAAGCCUCAGAGUGACACUUGCACAGGAUCUGUUCCUAUUCAUGCUAAGGUACACAACGUACAAUAAAACCAUCUACUCCUUCUUUAUAAAGGUGUCAGUCAUCCCAAAAGUAAUGUCUUAAAUCAUAGAAGAACUUUUUCUUUUACUAGUAUGUGAAACUAGGUGGUAAAAAUUUAGCAACAAUAUAAUUAGCACAAUCAGCAUACCAUGGAGCAGUACGAGAAGCAUUUAUGACAGCUAGUUGUUCAUCAGGAAAGCUAUCAUCAAUAGGUAGUGGGUCAUCAAGAACAUUCUCUAACCUAGACAAGUUGUCUGCAACGGGGUUCUUAGCUCCCUUUCUAUCAAUAAUAUGCAAAUCAAAUUCUUGAAGCAAGAGAACCCAUCUAACAAGUCUAGGUUUAGCAUGUUUCUUUUCCAUAAGAUAUUUAAUAGCAGCAUGAUCAGUGUGAAUAGUUACUUUAGAAUCAACAAUAUAAGGUCUGAACUUAUCACAAGCAAAUACAACUACUAAAAAUUCUUUUUCAGUAGUAGCAUAAUUUCUCUGGGCACUGUCUAGAGUUUUACUAGCAUAUUGGAUAUCAUUUAAUUUCUUAUCAACUCUUUGCCCUAGAACAGCCCCUACAACAUAAUCACUAGCAUCACCCAUAAUUUCAAAUGGUAAAUUCCAAUCAGGAGGCUGAACAAUAGGUGCAGAAAUCAAAGCUUUCUUAAGUAUUUCAAAUGCUUCUACACAAUCAUCAUCAAAGACAAAUGGAACAUCUUUUUGUAAGAGAUUAGUCAGAGGCCUAGAAAUUUUAGAAAAGUCCUUAAUGAACCUCCUAUAAAAACCGACAUGACCAAGAAAACUUCUUAUACCUUUAAUGUCCUUAGGACACGUCAUCUUUUCAAUAGCAUCAAUUUUAGCUUUAUCAACUUCAAUACCUCUUUCGGAAAUUUUAUGCCCCAAGACAAUGCCUUCAUUAACCAUAAAGUGGCACUUCUCCCAAUUCAAGACAAGAUUAGUUUCUUCACAUCUAUGCAAAACUCGAUCAAGGUUGCUUAAGCAACCAUCAAAAGAAGUUCCAUAUACAAAAAAAAAUCAUCCAUGAAUACCUCAACAAUCUUUUCACAAAAGUCAGAGAAUAUAGCAGUCAUACAUCUUUGAAAGGUAGCAGGUGCAUGCAUAAACCAAAAGGCAUACGUCUAUAAGCAAAGGUACCGAAAGGGCAAGUAAAAGUUGUCUUUUCUUGAUCCUCUUUUGACACAGGUAUUUGAAAGAAACCAGAAUAACCAUCUAGAAAGCAAAAAUGUGUAUGUUUGGAUAUUCUUUCUAGCAUUUGAUCCUUUUUAGUAGCUUUCUUUAAUUUGCGGAAAAGAAUUACCAUUCUAUAACCUGUAACAAUUCUUUGUGGGAUCAAUUCAUCUUUAUCAUUAGGAACAACAAUAAUACCUCCCUUCUUAGGGACACAAUGGACAUGACUUACCCACUGACUGUCAGCAACGGGAUAAAUUAUACUUGCCUCCAGAAGCUUUAGUAUUUCUUUUCUUACCACUUCUUUCAUCUUAGGAUUUAACUGUCAUUGGUGAUCAACAACCGGUUUCGCGUCUUUCUCCAAUUUUAUUUUGUGCUGGCAUAGAGUGGGACUAAUGCCCUUAAGAUCAUCAAGAGGAUAUCCAAUAGCGGGAUGGUGCUUCUUCAAAGUUUUCAAUAAUUUCUUUUCCUCAUGCUUUGAAAGGUUAGCACUAAUAAUAACAGGAUAUUUCUCCUUCUCAUCAAGAUAAGCAUAUUUAAGAGUAUCAGGUAAAGUUUUAAGCUCAAACACGGGAUCACCCUUGGGUGGAGGAGGAUCCCCUAGAAUUUCAAUAGACAAAUUGUGUUUCAAAAUAGGUCCCUGUAUAAAGAAUACUUCAUCUAUUUCCCUUCAUUCAUAAACAUAUCAUUUUCAUGGUCUAGCAAAUAUUGUUCUAAAGGAUCACUAGGAGGCACGGCAAUAGAAGCAAGACCAAUAAUUUCAUCUUCACUGAGCAAUUCUUUAUCAUGGGGUUGUCUACGAAUUUUAGCAAAGUUAAAUUCAUGAGACAUAUCCCCUAAACCAACAGAAACAAUAUCCUUAUUGCAAUCUAUCUUAGCAUUAACAGUAUUCAAGAAGGGUCCAAGAAAAAUAAUGGGACAAAAGAUAUCUUGUGGGGAACCAAGAAGAAGAAAAUCAGUAGGAUAUUUAACUUUCCCACACAAGACUUCAACAUCUCUAACAAUCCCAACUGGUGAAAUAGUGUCUCUAUUGGCAAGUAUAAUAGUAACAUCAAUUUCCUCUAUCUCAGCAGGUGCAAUAUCAUGCAUAAUUUCUAUAUAUAAGGAAUGAGGUAUUGCACUUGCACUAGCACCCUAUCACAUAAGCCAUGAUAGCAAUGAUCUCCUAUUUUAACAGAAAUAACAGGCAUGCCUACAACAGGUCUAUAUUUAAUUUUGGUAUCGGGUCUAGCAAUUCUAGCAGCUUCAUCACAUAAGUAAAUAACAUGCCCAUCAAUCUUAUCGGCCAAGAGAUCUUUAACCAUAGCAACACUAGGUUCAACUUUCAUUUGCUCAGAGGGAGUAGGUGUUCUAGUAUUAGUCUUACGAACUACAGUUGAAGCUUUAGCAUGAUUCUUUAUUCUAGCAGGGAAGGGUGGUUUCUCAAUAUAAGUAGUAGGAACAGUAGGAUCAUUAUAAGUGAUAGUCUUUUCUUCAACUUUAAUUGGUGAAACUACUUAUAUUUAAACCACUUCUCCUUAGGAGAUCAACAUGAGUAGCAAAGGAUUCAUAGAAAUAAGUUACUAUCUCAGAGUCAAGUCCAUAUUUACUGCUAAAUUCACGGAAAGCAUCGGUAUCCAUAAAGGAUUUAACACAAUCAAACUUAGGUGUUAUACCUGACUCCUUAGCUUCGUCGAGGUCCCAAUCUUCAGAGUCGCGCUUAAUUCUUUCCAAUAAAUCCCAUUUGAAUUCAAUAGUCUUCAUCAUAAAAGAACUAGUACAAGAAGUAUCGAGCAUGGAGCGAUUAUCGAGAGAAAGCCGAGCAUAAAAUUUUUGAAUAAUAAUUUCUCUUGAGAGCUCAUGAUUGGGGCGUGAAUAUAACAUUGACUUAAGCCUCCCCCAAGCUUGAGCGAUGCUUUCUUCUUGGCGAGGGAAAAAAUUAUAUAUAUAAUUACGAUCACGAUGAACAAGAUGCAUAGGAUAAAACUUCUGAUGAAAUUCCAAUUUGAAUCGGCUGUAGUUCCAUGAUCCCAUAUCAUCACAUAGCCUAAAUCAUGUCAAUGCCUUUAACUUCAAAGAUAAAGGGAAGACCUUGUUCUUGAUAACAUCCUCGGGCAUACAUGCAAGCUUAAAUAAUCCACAAAAUUCAUCUAUAUAGAUUAGGUGCAAAUCAGGAUGCAAUGUUCCAUCUCCUGUAAAAGGAUUAGCUAGCAGUUUCUCUAUCAUAACCGAAGGAAUUUCAAAGUAAAAAUAUUAGUAGGUUCAGUAGGUUGAGGAGCAACUCUUUGCUCUACUGGUCGGGGUGAAGAUACCCCGAACAAGCCCCUCAAAGGAUUAUGUUCCAUAGUAACAAGUGACAGUAAAUUUCAGCACCCUAUAUAAAUUUUUUCUUACCAAAUUCCACUCACCAAAGGCGCUUCACUCCCCGGCAACGGCGCCAGAAAAGAGUCUUGAUGACCCACAAGUAUAGGGGAUCUAUCAUAGUCCUUUCGAUAAGUAAGAGUGUUGAACCCAACGAGGAGCAGAAGGAAAUGAUAAGCAAUUUUCAGUAAGGUAUUCUCUGCAAGCACUGAAAUUAUCGGUAACAGAUAGUUUUGUCAUAAGGUGAUUUGUAACGGGUAACAAGUAAUGAAAGUAAAUAAGGUGCAGCAAGAUGGACCAAUCCUUUUUUUAGCAAAGGACAAGCCUGGACAAACUCUUAUAUAAAGGAAAACGCUCCCGAGGACACGUGGGAAUUACCAUCAAGCUAGUUUUCAUCACGUUCAUAUGAUUCACGUUCGAUACUUUGUUAAUUUGAUAUGUGGGUGGACCGGUGCUUGGGUACUGCACUUCCUUGGACAAGCAUCCCACUUAUGAUUAACCCCUAUUGCAAGCAUCCGCAACUACAAUAGAAGUAUUAAGGUAAACCUAACCAUAGCAUGAAACAUAUGGAUCCAAAUCAGCCCCUUACGAAGCAACGCAUAAACUAGUGUUUAAUCUUCUGUCACUCUAGCAACCCAUCAUCUACUUAUUACUUCGCAAUGCCUUCCGCUAGGCCCAAACAAUGAUAAAGUGUCAUGUAGUCAAUGUUCACAUGGCACCACUAGAGGAAAGACAACAUACAUCUCAUCAAAAUAUCGAACGAAUACCAAAUUCACAUGACUACUUAUAGCAAGACUUCUCCCAUGUCCUCAGGAACAAACGUAACUACUCACAAAUAAUAUUCAUGUUCAUAAUUAGAGGGGUAUUAAUAUGCAUAAUGGAUCUGAACAUACGAUCUUCCACCAAUUAAACCAACUAGCAUCAACUACAAGGAGUAAUCAACACUACUAGCAACCCACAGGUACCAAUCUGAGGUUUUGAGACAAAGAUUGGAUAGAAGAGAUGAACUAGGGUUUGAGAUAAGAUGGUGCUGGUGAAGAUGUUGAUGGAGAUUGACUCCUCCCGAUGAGAGGAUCGAUGGUGAUGAUUUCCCCCUCCCGGAGGGAAGUUUCCCCGGCAGAACAGCUUCGCCGAAGCCCUAGAUUGGUUCUGCCAAGGUUCCACCUCGUGGCGGCGGAGUUUCGUCCCGUGAGCUUGCUUAUGAUUUUUUCCUGGACGAAAAACUCCAUAUAGCCAAAGAUGGGCAUCAGAGGGCUGCCAGGGGGCCCACGAGGUAGGGGGCGCGCCCAGGGGGGUAGGGCGCGCCCCCACCCUCAUGGAUGGUGGGUGGCCCCCUCUUGUACUUCUUUCGCCCAAUGUUUUUUAUAUAUUCUGAAACGUGCUCCCGUGAAGUUUCAGGAAUUUUGGAGUUGUGCAGAAUUGGUCUCUAAUAUUUGCUCCUUUUCCAGCCCAGAAUUCCAGCUGUCGGCAUUCCCUCUCUUCAUGUAAACCUUGUAAAAUAAGAGAGAAUAGGCAUAAGUAUUGUGAUAUAAUGUGUAAUAACAACUCAUAAUGCAAUCAAUAUUGAUAUGAAAUCAUGAUGCAAAAUGGACGUAUCACAUCCCCAAGCUUAGGCUCUUACAUCCUUCCUUCAUCCAUCGUAAGAUAACCCAAAAUUUGAAAACUUCAAUCACACAAAACUCAAAAAAGCCUUCGUGAUAUCCGUUAGUAUAAGAAUAAUAAACUACUACUAUAAGUGUUGUAUCAAACCAAUUCAUAUUUUGUUUUUGUAUUAUAUCUAUUGUAUUCCAACUUUUCUAUGGCAAAAACUCAUCAAAGAAAACCAUAGAGCCAUCAAAAUAAGCACACAACACAAAGAAAACAGAAUAUAUCAAAAUAGAACAGUCUGCAGCAAUCUGAUUAUUUUGAAUACUUAUGUAACUCCAAAAACUCUUAAAAACUAGGGAGACCUGAGUAAUCUGUAUAUUGAUCAACCGCAAGUGGAAUGGGUAUUUUAUCGCUCUUUGGUAAGAAAUGAAAAUUAAUUUUGUGAGCGUAAAAGUUUCUGUUUUUUAGCAAGAUCAAACAACUAUCACCCAAUAAGAUCCUAAAGGCUUUACUUGGCACAAACACUAAUUAAAAUAUAAAAAACACAAUCAUAACAGUAGCAUAAUUGUGCUAACACUCAAAAACAGGAAGCAAAAAAGCAAAAAUAAAAUUUAUUCAUUGGGUUGCCUCCCAACAAGCGCUAUAAUUUUACGCCCUUAGCUAGGCAUAAAGCAAGGAUCUAAGUUUUGUCAUCCUUCUUCUUCUUAGUUUUCUUAGAGGUGUUUCCGUCAUGAGGUUUUGUAAACAAAACAUAAAAAAUAUUAUCCAUGGAAACUCUAGCAUUCCUCAAUUGGUUUUCAUAAUAGCCCCUUUGAUUUCCUGCAACAAUCCAAGAGUAGUGUUGAUUAACAUUAUUAAAAACUUGUUGGAUUAUAUCUAGAACGGGGACUUCCUUUUUAAGAUUCUCAUCAAAGAUAUUAUUGUCCCCAAACAAAUGCCUUAGUGCGUAGUCACUAUUGUAAAGAAUUUCAUCUAUCACGGGUUUUUCACGAUUCAUACCAUCAAAAUCAAAGAUUUCCCAAGCUUCCCGAAUUAUGUAGUCAAACACGUUCAUAACAACGAGAGUGGCCAGCUUUUUAAACCUUAGGAUUCUUUAUUUCCGGAAGCUCAAAAAACAAUCUUUGCCAGGUAGGAUGAGUACGAAUAAAUUUACUUUCAAUUUUUAGAACUAGUGCUGAAACAACAUCUGCAUAAGGUCUAGUAGUUUUAAGUAUAGGAGUACUAUCAUCAAGACUUAGGUUUCCAACACAAUUGAAAAAUUCUUGGAUACGUUCUUUUUCCAUAACGUCCCCUUGCCCCAAGAUAAAAGUUUUACCAUCAAAAUUGCCUAUAUGUCCAAUCUUAGGAGUCAACCCAUCAUCUGUUGGUGCCAUAACGAAAUCACUCAUGAUUGCAAGCAAAGAAUAGAUCUGACAAGAAAACGGCGAACGGGAAAGAGAGGCGAAUAAAACGGCAAAAUUUUGUGAAGUGGGGGAGAGGAAAAUGAGAGGCAAAUGGCAAAUGAUAUAAAUUGCAAGGAGAUGAGAUUUGUGACUAGGAACCUGGUUAUGUUGAAGAUCCUCCCCGGCAACGGUGCCAGAAAUUCCUUUUGAUGUCACUUGAAGCUACGUCAGUUUUUUCCCCAAAGAGGAAGGGAUGAUGCAGCACAUCAGCGGUAGGUAUUUCCCUUAGAUAUGAAACCAAGGUUAUCGAACCAGUAGGAGAACCAAGCAACUAUUGUGGAAUGUAGUAAUUUCAAAAAAAAUUGUACGCACACGCAAGACCAUGGUGAUGCAUAGCAACGAGAGGGAAGAGUAUUAUCCACGUACCCUCGUAGACCAUAAGCGGACGUGUUAUGGGAACGCGGUUGAUGUAGUCAAACGUCUUCACGAUCCGACCGAUCCAAGUACCGAACGCACGGCACCUCCGAGUUCAGCACAUGUUCAGCUCGAUGACGUCCCAUGAACUCCGAUCUAGCAGAGCUUCACAGAAGAGUUCCGUCAGCACGACGGCAUGAUGACGGUGAUGAUGUUGCUACCGACGCAGGGCUUCGCCUAAGCACCGCUACGAUAUGAUCGAGGUGGAUUAUGGUGGAGGGGGGCACCGCACACGGCUAAGGGAUCAAUGAUCAACUUGUGUGUCUAUAGGGUGCCCCUUCCCCUGUAUAUAAAGGAGUGGAGGAGGGGGAGGGCCGACCCUCUCUAUGGCGCGCCCUAGGGGAGUCAUACUCCCACGAGGAGUAGGAUUCCCCCUUUCCUAGUAGAACUAGGAGCCCUUCCAAGUAGUAGGAGUAGGAGAGAAGGAAAGGGAAAAGAGAAGAGAAGGAAGGAGGGGGCGCCGCCCCUCCCCCUAGUCCAAUUCGUACUAAGCCUUGGGGGGCACGCAGCCUCCCAUCUCUGUUUUCCCUAAAGGCCAGUAAGGCCCAUAUACUCCCCGGCGAAUUCCCGUAACUCUCCGGUACUCCGAAAAAUAUCCGAAUCACUCGGAACCUUUCCGAUGUUCGAAUAUAGUCUUCCAAUAUAUCGAUCUUUAUGUCUCGAACAUUUCGAGACUCCUCGUCAUGUCCCCGAUCUCAUCCGGGACUCCAAACUACCUUCGGUACAUCAAAUCACAUAAACUCAUAAUACCGAUCGUCACCGAACUUUAAGCGUGCGGACCCUACAGGUUUGAGAACUAUGUAGACAUGACCGAGACUCGUCUCUGGUCAAUAACCAAUAGUGGAACCUAGAUGCUCAUAUUGGUUCCUACAUAUUCUACGAAGAUCUUUAUUGAUCAAACCGCAUAACAACAUACAUUGUUCCCUUUGUCAUCGGUAUGUUACUUGCCCGAGAUUCGAUCGUUGGCAUCUCAAUACCUAGUUCAAUCUCGUUACCGGCAAGUCUCUUUACUCGUUCCGUAAUGCAUCAUCCCGCAGCUAACUCAUUAGUUACAUUGCUUGCAAGGCUUAUAGUGAUGUGCAUUACCGAGAGGGCCUAGAGAUACCUCUCCGACAAUCGGAGUGACAAAUCCUAAUCUCGAUCUAUGCCAACUCAACAAGUACCAUCGGAGACACCUAUAGAGCAGCUUUAUAAUCACCCAGUUACGUUGUGACGUUUGGUAGCACACAAAGUGUUCCUCCGGUGAUCGGGAAUUGCAUAAUCUCAUAGUCAUAGGAACAUGUAUAAGUCAUGAAGAAAGCAAUAGCAGUAAACUAAAACGAUCAAGUGCUAAGCUAAUGGAAUGGGUCAAGUCAAUCACAUCAUUCUGCUAAUGAUGUGAUCCCGUUUAUCAAAUGAUAACUGAUGUCUAUGGUUAGGAAACAUAACCAUCUUUGAUCAACGAGCUAGUCAAGUAGAGGCAUACUAGUGACACUCUGUUUGUCUAUGUAUUCACACAUGUAUUAUGUUUCCGGUUAAUACAAUUCUAGCAUGAAUAAUAAAUAUUAAUAAUAACUUUAUUAUUGCCUCUAGGGCAUAUUUCCUUCAGUCUCCCACUUGCACUAGAGUCAGUAAUCUAGUUCACAUCUUUAUGUGAUUAGUUCACAUCUCCAUGUGACUAAUACCCAAAGGGUUUACUAGAGUCAAUAAUCUAGUUCACAUCGCUAUGUGAUUAACACCCAAAGAGUGACCAUGUAUUUCUUGUGAGAGAAGUUUAGUCUACGGGUCUGCAACAUUCAGAUCCGUAUGUAUUUCGCAAAUUUCUAUGUCUACAAUGCUCUGCACGGAGCUACUCUAGCUAAUUGCUCCCACUUUCAAUAUGUAUCCAGAUCGAGACUUAGAGUCAUCUAGAUCGAUGUGAAAAGCUUGCAUCGACGUAACUCUUUACGACGAACUCUUUUAUCAUCUCCAUAACCGAGAAAUAUUUCCUUAGUCCUCUAAGGAUAAAUUUUGACCGCUAUCCAGUGAUCUACUCCUAGAUCGUUAUUGUACUCCCUUGCCAGAAUCAUGCUAAGGUAUACAAUAGGACUAGUAAACAUCAUAGCAUACUUUCUAGAACCUAUGACUGAGGCAUAGGGAAUGACCUUUCAUUCUAUUUCUAUUUUCUGCUGUGGUUGGGUUUUGAGUCUUUACUCAACUUCACACCUUGCAACAUAGGCAAGAACUCCUUCUUUGACUGUUCCAUUUUGAACUACUUCAAAAAACUUGUCAAGGUAUGUACUCAUUGAAAAAUCUUAUCAAGCGUCUUGACCUAUCUCUAUAGAUCUUGAUGCUCAAUGUGUAAGUAGCUUCAUCGAGGUCUUUCUUUGGAAAACUCUUUUCAGAUACUCCUUUAUGCUUUCCAGAAAAUUCUACAUUAUUUCUGAUCAACACAUAUGCUUAUCAGAAAUGCUGUCGUGCUCCUACUCACUUUCUUGUAAAUACAGGCUUCACCGCAAGUCUGUAUAAAACCAUAUGCUUUGAUCACUUUAUCAAAGUAUAUAUUCCAACUCUGAGAUGCUUCCACCAGUCCAUAGAUGGAUUGCUGGAGCUUGCACACUUUGUUAGCACCUUUAGGACUGAUAAAACCUUCUUGUUGCAUCAUAUACAACUCUUCUUGAAGAAAUCCAUUAAGGAAUGCAAUUUUGACAUCCAUUUGCCAGAUUUCAUAAAAUGCGGCAACUGCUAACAUGAUUUGGACAGAGCUUUAAGCAUCGAUAUGAGUGAGAAAAUCUCAUCGUAGUCAACACCUUGAACCUGUCGAGAACAUUUUGCAACAAUUCGAGCUUUUUAGAUAGUAACACUACUAUCAGCAUCUGUCUUCCUCUUGAAGAUCCAUUUAUUCUCAAUGACUCACCGAUCAUCGGGCAAGUCAAUCAAAGUCCAUACUUUGUUCUCAUACAUGGAUCCCAUCUUAGAUUUCAUGGCCUCAAGCCAUUUCAUGGAAUCUGGGCUCAUCAUCGCUUCCUCAUAGUUCGUAGGUUCAUCAUGGUCAAGUAACAUGACCUCCAGAACAUGAUUACUGUACCACUCCGGUGCGAAUCUCACUCUGGUUGACCUACAAGGUUCGGUAGUAACUUGAUCUGAAGUUACAUGAUCAUCAUCAUUAGCUUCCUUACUAAUUGGUGUAGGAGUCACAGGAACAGAUUUCUAUGAUGAACUACUUUCCAAUCAGGGAGAAGGUACAGUUACCUCAUCAAGUUCUACUUUCCUCCCACUCACUUCUUUCGAGAGAAACUCCUUCUCUAGAAAGGAUCCAUUCUUAGCAACGAAUGUCUUGCCUUUGGAUCUGUGAUAGAAGGUGUACCCAACUUUCUCCUUUGGGUAUCCUAUGAAGACACAUUUCUCUGAUUUGGGUUUGAGCUUAUCAGGAUGAAACUAUUUCACAUAAGCAUCGUAACCCCAAACUUUAAGAAAUGACAACUUUGGUUUCUUGCCAAACCAUAGUUCAUACGGUGUCAUCUCAACGGAUUUAGAUGGUGCCCUAUUUAACAUGAAUGCAGCUGUCUCCAGGGGCGUUGCCAGGCCCAAGGCUACCUAGGUCGUGGCCUGGGGCGUGGUGGUGAAAACGUUCGUUGACUGUAGCUACAGUAAACACUGUAGCAACGAAGAUGGCCCGGGGCGUGUAGAUAUUCUGGCUACGGCACUGGCUGUCUCUAAUGCAUAACCCCAAAACGAUAGCGGUAAAUCAGUAAGAGACAUCAUAGAUUGCACCAUAUCUUAUAAAGUAUGGCUACGUUGUUCGGACACACCAUUACGCUGUGGUGUUCUAGGUGGCGUGAGUUGCGAAACUAUUUCGCUUGGUUUCAAAUGAAGACCAAACUCGUAACUCAAAUAUUCUCCUCCACAUUCAGAUCGUAGAAACUUUAUUUUCUUGUUGCGAUGAUUUUCCACUUUACUCUGAAAUUUUUGAACUUUUCCAAUGUUUCAGAUUUAUGUUUCAUUAAGAAGAUAUACCCAUAUCUUACUCAAAUCAUCCGUGAAGGUCUGAAAAUAACGAUACCUGCCGCGAGCCUCAACACUCAUCGAACUACAUACAUCAGUAUGUAUUAUUUCCAACAAGUCUGUUGCUCGCUCCAUUGUUCCAGAGAAUGGAGUCUUAGUCAUCUUGCCCAUGAGGCAUGGUUCGCAAGCAUCAACUGCUUCAUAAUCAAGUGAUUCCAAAAGCCCAUUAACAUGGAUUUUCUUCAUGCGCUUUACACCAAUAUGACCUAAACGGCAGUGCCACAAAUAAGUUGCACUAUCAUUAUUAACUUUGCAUCUUUUGGCUUCAAUAUUAUGAAUAUGUGUAUCACUAUGAUCGAGAUUCAAUAAACCAUUCACCUUGGGUGUAUGACCAUUGAAGGUUUUAUUCAUGUAAAUAGAACAACAAUUAUUCUCUGACUUUAAAUGAAGAACUGUAUUGCAAUAAACAUGAUCAAAUCGUAUUCAUGCUUAACGCAAACACCAAAUAACAUUUAUUUAGGUUCAACACUAAUCCCGAAAGUAUAGGUAGUGUGCGAUGAUGAUCAUAUCAAUCUUGGAACCACUUCCAACAUACAUCGUCACUUCACCCUUGACUAGUCUCUAUUCAUUCUACAACUCCCGUUUCGAGUUACUAAUCUCAGCAACUGAACUAGUAUCAAAUACUGAGGGGUUGCUAUAAACACUAGUAAAGUACACAUCAAUAACAUGUAUAUCAAAUAUACCUUUGUUCACUUUCCAUCCUUCUUAUCCGCCAAAUACUUGGGGCAGUUCUGCUUCAAGUGACUAGUCCCUUUGCAGUAGAAGCACUUAGUCUCAGGCUUUGGUCUAGAUUUGGGCUUCUUCACUUGAGCAGCAACUUGCUUUCCGUUCUUCUUGAAGUUCCCCUUUUUCCCUUUGCCCUUUUCUUGAAACUAGUGAUCUUGUCAACCAUCAACACUUGAUGCUUUUCUUGAUUUCUACCUUCAUCGAUUUCAGCAUCACGAAGAGCUUGGGAAUCGUUUCCGUUAUCCCUUGCAUAUUAUAGUUCAUCACGAUGUUCCAGUAACUUGGUGAUAGUGACUAGAGAACUCUGUCAAUCACUAUCUUAUCUGGAAGAUUAACUCCCACUUGAUUCAAGUGAUUGUAGUAUUCAGACAUUCUGAAUACAUGCUCACUAGCUGAGCUAUUCUCCCCCAUCUUGUAGGCAAAGUACUUGUCAGAGGUCUCAUACCUCUUGACACGGGCAUGAGUCUGAAAUACUAAUUUCAACUCUUGGAACAUCUCAUAUGCUCCAUGGCGUUCAAAACGUCUUUGAAGCCCAGACUCUAUGCCUAAAGCAUGGUGCACUAAACUAUCAAGUAGUCAUCAUAUCAAGCUCGCCAAACGUUCAUAAUGUCUUCUGCUCCUGCAAUCGGUCUGUCACCUAGCGGUGCAUCAAGGACAUAAUUCUUCUGUGCAGCAAUGAGGAUAAUCCUCAGAUCACAGAUCCAAUCUGCAUCAUUGCUACUAAUGUCUUUUCAACUUAGUUUUUCUCUAGGAACAUAUCAAAAUAAACAGGGAGCUACAUCGCGAGCUAUUGAUCUACAACAUAGUCAUGCAAAUACUAUCAGGACUAAGUUCAUGAUAAAUUAAAGUUCAAUUAAUCAUAUUACUUAAGAAUUCCCACUUAGAUAGACAUCCCUCUAAUCAUCUAAGUGAUUACAUGAUCCAUAUCAACUAAACCAUAACCGAUCAUCACGUGAGAUGGAGUAGUUUUCAAUGGUGAACAUCUCUAUGUUGAUCAUAUCUACUAUAUGAUUCACGCUCGACCUUUCGGUAUCAAUGUUCCGAGGUCAUAUCUGCAUAUGCUAGGCCCGUCAAGUUUAAUCCGAGUAUUCUGCAUGUGCAAAACUGUCUUACACCCAUUGUAGAUGAACGUUGAGCUUAUCACACCCGAUCAUCACGUGGUAUCUCGACACGACGAACUUUGGCAACGGUGCAUACUUAGGGAGAACACUUUUACCUUGAAAUUUUUAGUGAGAGAUCAUCUUAUAAUGCUACCGUCAAUCAAACAGACUAAGAAGCAUAAAGCAUAAACUUCACAUUCAAUCAAAAUAUGUGACAUGAUAUGGCCAUGAUCAUCUUGCGCCUUUGAUCUCCAUCUCCAAAGUACUGUCAUGAUCUCUAUCGUCACCGGCAUGACACCAUGAUCUCCAUCAUCUUGAUCUUUAUCAAUGUGUCGUCACAUGGUCGUCUCGCCAACUAUUGCUUUUGCAACUAUUGCUAUCGCAUAGUGAUAAAGUAAAGCAAUUACAUGGCACUUGCAUCUUAUACAAUAAAGAGACAACCAUAACCAGAACGAUAGUUCGUCAAGUUAGUGUUGUUUUAACCUUCUCAAGGACUGGGCGUAGCCACACUUGGUUCAACUAAAGUUGGAGAAACUGACACCCGCCAGCCACUUGUGUGCAAAGCACGUCGGUAGAACCAGCAUCGCAUAAGCGUACGCGUAAUGUCGGUCCGGGCCGCUUCAUCCAACAAUACCGCCGAACCAAAGUAUGACAUGCUGGUAAGCAGUAUGACUUGUAUCGCCCACAACUCACUUGUGUUCUACUCGUGCAUAUAAUAUCUACGCAUAAACCUGGCUCGGAUGCCACUGUUGGGGAACAUAGUAAUUUCAAAAAAAAUCCUACGCACACACAAGAUCAUGGUGAUGCAUAGCAACGAGAGGGAAGAGUAUCAUCCACGUACCCUCGUAGACCAUAAGCGGACGUGUUAUGGGAACGCGGUUGAUGUAGUCGAAUGUCUUCAUGAUCCGACCGAUCCAAGUACCGAACGCAUGGCACCUCCGAGUUCAGCACACGUUCAGCUCGAUGACGUCCCAUGAACUCCGAUCCAGCAGAGCUUCACGGAAGAGUUCCGUCAGCACGACGGCAUGAUGACGGUGAUGAUGUUGCUACCGACGCAGGGCUUCGCCUAAGCACCGCUACGAUAUGAUCGAGGUGGAUUAUGGUGGAGGGGGGCACCGCACACGGCUAAGGGAUCAAUGAUCAACUUGUGUGUCUAUGGGGUGCCCCCUUCCCCCGUAUAUAAAGGAGUGGAGGAGGGGGAGGGCCGGACCUCUCUAUGAGCGCCCUAGGGGAGUCCUACUCCCACCGGGAGUAGGAUUCCCCCUUUCCUAGUAGAACUAGGAGCCCUUCCAAGUAGUAGGAGUAGGAGAGAAGGAAAGGGAAAAGAGAAGAGAAGGAAGGAGGGGGCGCCGCCCCUCCCCCUAGUCCAAUUCGGACUAAGCCUUGAGGGGGGGGGGCGCAGCCUCCCAUCUCUCUUUUCCCUAAAGCCCAAUAAGGCCCAUAUACUCCUCGGCGAAUUCCCGUAACUCUCCGGUACUCCGAAGAAUACCCGAAUCACUCGGAACCUUUUCGAUGUCCGAAUAUAGUCAUCCAAUAUAUCAAUCUUUAUGUCUCGACCAUUUCGAGACUCCUCGUCAUGUCCCCGAUCUCAUCUGGGACUCCGAACUACCUUCGGUACAUCAAAACACAUAAACUUAUAAUACCGAUCGACACCGAACUUUAAGCGUGCAGACCCUAUGGGUUCGAGAACUAUGUAGACAUGACCGAGACUCGUCACCGGUCAAUAAUCAAUAGCGGAACCUAGAUGCUCAUUUUGGUUCCUGCAUAUUCUACGAAGAUCUUUAUCGUUCAAACCGCAUAACAACAUAUAUUGUUCCCUUUGUCAUCGGUAUGUUACUUGCCCAAGGUUCGAUCGUAGGUAUCUCAAUACCUAGUUCAAUCUCGUUACCGGCAAUUCUCUUUACUCGUUCCGUAAUGCAUCAUCCCACAGCUAACUCAUUACUUACAUUGCUUGCAAGGCUUAUAGUGAUGUGCAUUACCGAGAGGGCCCAGAGAUACCUCUCCGACAAUCGGAGUGACAAAUCCUAAUCUCGAUCUAUGCCAACUCAACAAGUACCAUCGGGGACACCUGUAGAGCAUCUUUAUAAUCACCCAGUUACGUUGUGACGUUUGGUAGAACACAAAGUGUUCCUCCGGUGAUCGGUAAUUGCAUAAUCUCAUAGUCAUAGGAACAUGUAUAAGUCAUGAAGAAAGCAAUAGCAGUAAACUAAAACGAUCAAGUGCUAAGCUAAUGGAAUGGGUCAAGUCAAUCACAUCAUUCUCCUAAUGAUGUGAUCCCGUUUAUCAAAUGAUAACUGAUGUCUAUGUUUAGGAAACAUAACCAUCUUUGAUCAACGAGCUAGUCAAGUAGAGGCAUACUAGUGACACUCUGUUUGUCUAUGUAUUCACACAUGUAUUAUGUUUCCGGUUAAUACAAUUCUAGCAUGAAUAAUAAACAUUUAUAAUGAUAUAAGGAAAUAAAUAAUAACUUUAUUAUUACCCGAUAAACAUUUAUCGGGUAACGGCGCCAGAAAUGGCAUGUGGACGGGAGAGAGUUGUAAAUAUUGAUAGAUCGAACACAAAAUAAAAUAAAUUGCGUGGUAUUUUUGGAUUUUUGGUUUAAUAGAUCUGAAAAUAAAGGCAGAUAAAAAUAGAUCGCGAAGGCAAAUAAUAUGAGAAAGAGACCCGAGGGCCGUAGGUUUCACUAGUGGCAUCUCUCGAGAAAAAUAGCAAACAUUGGGAAACAAAUUACUGUUGGGCAAUUGAUAGAACCUCAAGUAAUUAUGACAAUAUCCAGGCAAUGAUCAUUACAUAGGCAUCACGUCCAAGAUUAGUAGACCGACUCCUGCCUGCAUCUACUAAUAUUACUCCACACAUCGACCACUAUCCAGCAUGCAUCUAAUGUAUUAAGUUCAUGGGAAAAUGGAGUAAUGCAAUAAGAACGAUGUCAUGAUGUAGACGAGAUCCGUUUAUCUAUGGUGGUAGAUAUAGAUCCCAUAUUUUUAUCCUUAGUAGCAAUGAUACAUACAUGUCGGUUCCCUUUCUAUCACUGGGAUCAAGCACCGUAAGAUCGAACCCACUACCGGGCACCUCUUCCCAUUGCAAGAUAAAUAGAUCAAGUUGGCCAGACAAAACCCAAAUAUUGGGGAAGAAAUACGAGACUAUAAGAGAUCAUGCAUAAAAGGGAUAAAAGAAACUCAAAUACUUUUAUGGAUAUAAAAAGAUAGAUCUGAUCAUAAACUCAAAGUUCAUUGAUCCCAACAAACACACCACAAAAGAGUUACAUCAUAUGGAUCUCCAAGAGACCAUUGUAUUGAGAAUCAAGAGAGAGAGAUGAAGCCAUCUAGCUACUAACUAUGGACCCGAAGGUCUACAAAGAACUACUCACGCAUCAUCGGAGAGGCACCAAUGAAAGUGGUGAACCCCUCCGUGAUGGUGACUAGAUUGGAUCUGGUGGUUCUGGAAUCUACGGCGGCUGGAUGAAUAUUUCGUCGACUCCCCUAGGGUUUUGGGAAUAUUAGGGUAUUUAUAGAGCAAAGAGGCGGUCCGGGGGGCACCCGAGGUGGGCACAACCCAUCAGGGCGCGCCUGGGCCUCCUGGCGCGCACUGGUGGGUUGUGCCCCCCUCGGGGCACCCCCCCAGGCGCAGCCAGGGCCCGUUGUGUUCCUUUUGGCCCAUAAAAAUUCUUUGUUAAGUUUCGUGGCAUUUGGACUCCGUCUAAUAUUGAUUUUCUGCGAUGUAAAAAACACGGAAAAAACAGGAACUGGCACUUGGCACUAUGUCAAUAGGUUAGUACUUAGUACCAAAAAAUGAUAUAAAAUGACUAUAAAAUGAUUAUAAAACAUCCAAGAUUAAUAAUAUAACAGCAUGGAACAAUCAAAAAUUAUAGAUACGUUGGAGACGUAUCAGAGACAUGGAGUCUCCCUAUCUUAGUCCCUUACGAGUCUGGAAAUAAUGACCGGUGUCAUCAUUGACCUUUAUCCCGGCACUGCCUUUCUGUAUGAAUGAAUCCACUUGAGACCUCCAGGUAUCAUUGAGUCCCUUCAUACGUAAGGCUUGUAGGAAGGGCCAUUUGACCUUAUCAUAAGCUUUUUCAAAAUCCACUUUGAAGACAACCCCAUCGAGUUUCUUCAAGUGGAUUUCGUGCAAUGUUUCAUGUAGGACUACCACCCCUUCUAGGAUUUGUCGUCCUGGCAUGAAAGCAGCUUGAGUGGGUUGCACAACCGAAUGCGCAACUUGCGUCAACCUAUUCGUGCCAACCUUUGUAAAGAUCUUAAAGCUUACAUUGAGAAGACAUAUUGGUCUAAAUUGCUCAAUGCGAACGGCUUCCACCUUCUUUUGCAACAAUGUUAUUGUUCCAAAAUUGAGGUGGAACAAAUUUAGGUGGCCUUCAAAUAAAUCAUGGAACAUAGGCAUGAGAUCACACUUUAUGAUAUUCCAACAUCAUUGAUAGAAUUCGUCCGGGAACCCAUCUGGCCCGAACGCUUUAUUACGUUUCAUUUGUGUUAUGGCAUCGAACACCUCUUUCUUAGUGAACGGGGCAGACAACACCUCAUUCUCUUCUAAGUCGAGUUGUGGUAUGUCCCUGAUCACAUUCUCAUCAAGAGAGACAAAACUUUCUUCGGGUGCUCAGAAAAGUUUCUUGUAAUAUUCAGAAAUGUAUAGUUUUAGAUUCUCCUGUCCUACAAUUGUACCCUCAUCUUGUUCCAGUUGCAUUAUCUUUUUCUUCCUAUGCUUCCUGUUGGGGAUAUUACUGCUGGGCAUAAACCGGCUAAGAGAGGCCGGAUUAUCCCCAUAAUGAGUUAUUGUAUUUGAAGCCCAUGAAGACAAAGAUGGUGGCGCUUUAUGAAGACCCUGGGACCAAAGGCGGAUUAAGGUCUAUAGACCUAAACCGACAUUGAUAUGUAAACUUGUGAUGUAAGAUAGAAAGACUAGAGACCGAGCUAGACAUGUUUAUGAGUCGGCCUCGGGAUUCUGUAAACCAACGGGUGUCAACCUAUGUAUAUAAAGGGACGACCCGGCGGCGGUUUAGGGACAACAAACAAUAACUCGAGAGCCAGGCAAAGCGGAUUCGCUCCCUGGUCAUCGAACCCCAAGCAAUUCCAUCACAACUGGACGUAGGCUUUUACCUUCACCGUAAGGGGCCGAACCAGUAUAACCCCUUGCAUCCCUUGUCCGCUUUAACCCCUUUAAGCUAACCCGUAGCGAUGACUCCAUGACUAAGUCCUUUCACGAGGACAUCUGCCGUGACAAUUCCACGACAGUUGGUGCCCACCGUGGGGCUAUCGCACGAUGGUUUUGAGUUCUUGAAGGGCAUCUUCGAAGGACUCAAGGGAUACACUAUGGGCCGGAUGACCAAGAGUCGUCGCGGCAAGCUCUACAUCGAUGACGCAGGUUGGGGCCCCGAGGCCGGCUCGAUCGAGUACGGGUACCGGGUCCCCUUUGGCGGAAUACACGUCUUCAUUGGCAAUAUCGGUGAACCGGUCCCUGAGCUAGACAUCUGCACCGACAUCAUCGAGACGGCUCAGCGUGUGAGACCUGCUCGCAUUUGGCCUACCGUGAAACGUGCCUUCGUGGGAGUCAUCCACGGGGCAGAAUCUGAGGGUAGAUCGGUAUCUGGUGGUGAAACCGUCGUUUACUCUGAUGACGAAUCUUCAACCGAAGAAACCGAGUCACUGUAUCAGUUGCAUGAUGGCCGGAUUAGCGAUGGUUCCGAUGGCGACAGUAUUCCGGACCUCCUUGAACCGUCGAGCCGAGUUGCGACCUUCAUGGCCGGUACGCAAUCGGUGCAACAUUCUUCUACCGCCGCAAUGGUGAUUUCCGGUUCAGCAGCGGCAACACCAGCAGGAGCAGGGGGUUUUGCGCCACCACCGGCUCAGGUUUUGUCUGAUUUGUUCGAUGCUUUGGCAACAUUGCUAGCGGCGGAGGUUGACGCGGCAAACCAGGAUCAGCAUAACGCGGAGAUUGCAAAGGUAAAAGAUUAGAUAGCUCAAGCUAAGGCGGAUCUAGCAGCAGAGAAUACCAGGAUGGCCGCUGAGCAGGCCGGAUUAGAGGCACAAGCCUAUCGGCUUAUGCUGGACCAAAGUGCGUCAGAUGAUGUCAUGAGGAGACGGUACCAAUCUCACCUGCCGCCAAUUUAUGAGGGAAGAAACCUCUUUAACACGCCAGGGGCGGGCACCAGCAACCAGCCCGUGGUAAACCGGGCGGAGCCACCUGGAGCAGGGGCUUCGGUUUAGCCGCGCACGAUGGAUCCGCCCCCUCAGCCUCAUCAGAACGAUGUCCCAUCACGCACGUCUCAACGCCUCCGGGUCAUUACUCUAACCCGUUGGAUAACAUCGUUGCCGCCGCUUUGUGAUUGGCAGCUCUCCCGAUCGAUGGCGAGUCCCCAGUAGCAGUUGAAACACGACGGGCUAGGGAGCUCCUUUAGACGGCCUUGACUCAGUAGUAGGCUUAUUCAUAUAGCCGCCAAAGGAUUCAUUCUACUCCCCACCCGAGCCAGAGUUACAGCAGACUUAUGGAUGAACCGGUCGUAUCAAGCAGUGCAUGGAAUCGUAAUCCGCCCCGUGGUCAUAACCCGGCGGGUGGCGGUGGUGAUGCUCAGGAUGUGGUGGAUCGCGCUAGGGCACGUCGAGAGGCCGAGUUAGCGGCGCAGCAUGAAGCCCGCCAACUUACUCCGGUUCGUCCAACAACGUCGGUGGAACCAAGAGUUACCUCCAGUUCUUUAGGGGUACCGUGUCUCGGCCCAGCACUGUGCAAUGUACGGCUGCCCAAGGAUUUCAAAGGCCCACGUAAGGUGCCGAAUGACACUGCCGAUUUAUCCCCCGAGUCAUGGGUUGAAAGCUAUGAGAUGGCAAUGGAGAUGCUGGAUGUCGAUGAUGCAGCGUGUGCCAAAUACUUUACCAUGAUGUUGGAGGGAACAGCUCACACAUGGUUGAAAAACCUGCUGGCCAACUCCAUUGGUUCGUGGCCCGAGUUAAGGGCCCGGUUUAUCCAGAAUUUCAAGGAUACGUGCAAGCAGCCCAUGUCAGUUGUGGAUUUAGCUGCAUGUGUCCAGGAGGAAAGAGAGUCAACAACCCGUUGGGUGCGCCGGGUUUUGGAGAUUUUGCAUUCAUCAGACCGCAUCAACACUGAUACAGCAGUUUUAACAUUGGAAGGCAACUGCCGGUUUGCACCUCUAAAGUUGAAGUUGGGACGGCUCAAACGUCAUUGCAAUGACAUGGGAACGCUUAUGGCAGCUCUGGUGAAGUAUGCCAAUUUUGAUAGUACCAAGGACCCUGAGUCUGACGACGACAAGACAGGGAAGGGAAAGAAGAGCGGCAGCACCAAGGGGCAGCAGCAUAACCCGGCGGGUCACGGAAACAACGGUAAGCAUAAAGCGGAUAGUAGUCUAGAUUUUGUGGCUAAUACCAACGCGCAGGACAAAGGCCAACGUCGUAAGGGAAAACCUCCCCCGCAUGGUGGAGUACCAAGUCCCAAUCCGGAGCGCCUGUCUCACCUGUUAAACCAGCCUUGCCCGAAGCAAGGAUCGCGGGAUAAGCUGGCCACGCACCUCUGGAAGGAUUGUUAUAUUAUGCAGGAAUUCAAAAAUUCAGAUUUUAUUCAGUAUGAUCAUGGACCUAGCGGCGGUUCAGGCCCCGAAUCUCAUGGGCCGGGUUACGGUGGAGGCAGUUCCGGUUCAGGUUUUCACGGUAAUCAGAGCGGACAUGGCAAUCAAGGCAAUCAGGGCAACCAAGGUGGUUAUAAUCAUCAGGGGAAUCAGCAGCAACAGCAGCAGUAGGGUUACCAAAGCAACCCGAAGAAAUUGAAUAGUGGGCAGUACCAUGUCUUCACCACAAGUCUAUGCAGGCGCGAUCAGAAGCUUCAUAAAAGGGCAGUGAAUUCCGUUGAACUGGCAGUGCCCUGUUAUCUGCGCUGGUCUGAACAACCCAUCAUGUGGAGUCGAGAGGAUCAUCCUACCCGGGUCGAUAAUCCGGGUCAUCUAGCCUUAGUGGUGGCACCUCAGGUUGGGGGUACAAGUUCACCAAGGUACUCAUGGACGGAGGGAGCAGUAUCAAUAUCCUUUAUUAUGAAACCUUCCGUCGCAUGGGGUUGACAGAUAAUAAGAAUCUUAAACCGUCGAACACCGUCUUUCAUGGCAUGGUGCCUGGUAAAUCGGCGUACCCAGUUGGUAAGAUAGCUCUGGAGGUGGCUUUUGGAGAUGAGCAUAACUCGAGAUCAGAAACAUUUACCUUUGAAGUAGUAAAGAUCAAGAGCCCAUAUCAUGCCCUAUUUGGACGGCCGGCUUAUGCCAAGUUCAUGGCAAGGCCCUGUUAUGUUUAUCUGCAACUCAAGAUGCCGGGUCACAAGGGAACCAUCACGGUACAUGGAAGCCGUAAGAUCGCUUUGGAAUGUGAAGAAGGUGAUGCGGCUUAUGCUGAGUCAAUUUGUGCAACAGAAGAGUUGAAGUUCUACAAGGACAAUGUUGAUCCGACAGAUAUGACUUCGUUGAAGAAACCAACUACAGAGCAUGAUCUGUCCUUAAAGUUUAAAUCGGCUGACGAGACUAAGCUGGUUGACUUUGUUCCUGGCAAUUCAUCUCAGCAGUUUAGUAUCAGUGCUAACUUGGAUCCAAAAUAGGAAAGCGCGCUCAUCGAGUUCAUCCCUGAGAACUGGGACAUCUUUGCGCGGAAACCCUCUAACAUGACAGGUGUACCAAGGGAACUCGCUGAGCACACUCUUAAUAUUUGACCCCAAGUUUAAACCAAUUAAGCAAUUUCUCCGCCGGUUCAAUGAAGAAAGACGCAAGGCCAUUGGUGAGGAGGUAGCCAGGCUCUUGGCGGCUGGGUUUAUCAUUGAAGUAUUUCAUCCUGAUUGGUUAGGUAAUCUGGUGCUGGUACUUAAGAAGAACGGCACUUAGCGUAUGUGUGAGGACUACACAGAUUUGAACAAGGCUUGUCCGGCAGAUCCUUUUGCUCUCCCUCGUAUUGAUCAAAUCAUUGAUGCUACGGCGGGUUGUGAGCGUUUGAGUUUUUUGGAUGCAUACUCUGGUUACCAUCAGAUCAAAAUGGCAGUUAAGGACCAGGAGAAGACAACUUUUAUAACUCCUUUUGGAGCCUUCUUCUAUGUAUCUAUGCCUUUUGGGCUCAAGAGUGCCCAGACAACUUAUCAGCGCUAUGUGCAGAAUUGUCUUCAUAAUCAGAUUGGCCGCAAUGUUUAUGCUUAUGUGGAUGAUAUUGUGGUGAAAUCCAGAAAGAGGAGACAUUUAUAGAUGACUUGAAGGAGACCUUUUAUAACCUCCGGGUUUAUAAAAUGAUGCUUAAUCCAGCCAAGUGUGUCUUUGGUGUACCAGCAUGAAUGCUCUUGGGCUUUCUGGUGUCUAACAGGGGCAUUGAAGCUAAUCCGGAGAAAAUCAAGGCCAUAACCUCUUUGGCUAAGCCAAAGUGUAUCAAUGAUGUUCAACGCCUGGCAGGCCGGAUUGCAGCUUUGAGCCAGUUUAUCAAUCGCCUUGGGGAGAAGGCCAUCCCCUUAUAUCAGAUGCUAAAAAAGAUGGAUGACUUUGUUUGGAGUGAGGCACAAUGCAGCCUUUGAGAGUCUAAAGCGACAGCUAGCUGAGCCUCCUGUCCUUGCUGCUCCCGUUGAUAAAGAGCCCUUAUUGUUAUAUGUGGCUGCUAAUGCCCGGGAUGUUAGUGUGGCUAUUGUUGUGGAGCGCAAGGAGGCUGGAAAGGAGUGUUCGGUUCAACGACUGGUUUAUUACAUCAGUGAGGUGCUUAUUGAGUCUAAGAAGAGGUACCCACAUUGGCAGAAGCUGGUGUAUGGGGUCUUCAUGGCGAGCCAGAAGCUCAAGCACUAUUUUCUGGGUCAUCCUAUCACUGUGGUCAGUUUUGCCCCUUUGGGGGAUAUCAUCCAAAAUAGAGAAGCAACUAGCCGGAUUGCCAAAUGGGCUAUUGAGCUUGGACCUCACGGGUUAAAAUAUACGCCUCGCACAACAAUCAAAUCCCAAGCACUUGUGGACUUCAUCAAUGAUUGGCAGAGUUGCAGGCACCGGAGGAAAAACCAGAUAACACUUAUUGGACUAUUCAUUUUGAUGGGUCCAGACAGCUGGAAGGCUCGGGGGCUGGAGUCAUAUUAACUUCCCCACGAGGUGAUAAGUUUUGUUAUGUUCUCCGUUUAAUGUUCCCUUGCACUAACAAUGCAGCUGAAUAUGAGGCCCUGCUCCAUGGUCUUAGGAUGGCUAAGGAGAUGAAUUUAAGCCGGGUUAAAUGCUUUGGUGACUCGGACCUGGUGGCUCAACAGGUGUCUGGCACUUGGGAUUCCAAGGAUCCACUCAUGGCGUCGUAUCAACGAGAGGUGGACAUAGUAGCUGGUCAUUUCAAGGGUUAUCAGGUGGACCAUAUAGACCGGCAAAAAAAUGAAGUGGCGGACGCUUUAAGUCGCUUAGGCUCUCAACAUAAACCGGUGCCGCCUAAUGUCUUCCUGGAUGUGCUGCAUAAUCCAUCCGUCAAGAUACCUACAGAGGAGGAUUUGGUUGUUCCUGAUCCGGAGGCUCAAUUGGUGGUGGCUCUUCAUGUUAUCCCGGAUUGGACAAUCCCAUACCUGGCGUACAUGAACCGGGGCGAGUUACCAGACGAUGAAACUUUGGCCCGGCAGAUAAUCCAGCGAUCCAAGUCAAUGACCAUUAUCAAUGGGGAGUUGCACCACUCUAGCGUAACAGGGGCGUUUCAGCGUUGUGUGUCUCCUCAAGAGGGCUGUGAGAUUUUGCGUGAGAUCCACGAAGGAGAUUGUGGUCACCACGCCGGUUCAAAAUCCUUGGUAGCUAAGGCAUUCCAUCAUGGUUUUUACUGGUUGAUGGGUCAUGUUGAUGCUGAGGAUUUGGUAAAGAGAUGUGACGGUUGUCAGAAGUUUGCACGCCGCGCCCAUGUUCCGGCUCAAGAAUUAAGGAUGAUUCCAAUUACUUGGCCGUUUGCAACUUGGGGGCUGGAUAUGGUUGAGCCCUUUAAGAUGUCCAAGGACAAGAAGACCCACCUGCUAGUGGCGGUUGAUAAGUUUACCAAGUGGGUAGAGGCAGAGCCAGUCAGUAAGUGUGAUGCUGCCACGGCAGUUCAAUUCAUCAAAAAGGUGAUCUUCCAUUUUGGUUUUCCACACAGCAUCAUCACUGAUAAUGGUACUAAUCUGUCCAAGGGUGCUAUGGAAGAAUUUUGUCAACGUGAGCACAUCCGGCUUGACGUAUCAUCAGUGGUUCACCCCCAAUCUAAUGGUCAAGCAGAGAGAGCCAAUCAAGAGAUUUUGAGAGGCAUCAAGCCCCGGCUUAUGGUUCCUUUAAAGCGGACGCCGGGCUGUUGGGUUGAGGAGUUACCUUCCAUGUUAUGGAGCAUCAACACCACACCGAAUAGAUCUAUGGAUUACAUGCCCUUCGUCAUGGUUUACGGAGCAGAGGCGGUUCUCCCUAGUGACAUCCGUCAUAACUCGCCCCGUGUGGCGGCUUACGUUGAAGCUGAUAAUGAGAAAGCACGUCAGGACUCACUGGACCUGUUAGAUGAGGAGCGUGACCUUGCAGCGGCACGUUCGGCGAUUUAUCAACAAGAUCUGCGACGUUAUCACAACCGUUGGGUUAAGACCAGAACUUUUCAAGAAGGUGAUUUGGUGCUCCGGCUCAUCCAGGAUCAGAUUGAUAUGCACAAGUUGUCCCCACCUUGGGAAGGACCUUUUGUGGUCAGCAAAAAUCUGCACAACGGAUCAUACUACUGUCGGCAUUCUGGGAACGGGGGUCCCCAGACUUGCCUGUCUGCGGCCUGCGGCGUGGCUCAAAGGGGGCCCAGCACGGCCCAUCUUCAUCAACACGGACCCAAGACCCUCGCGAGGGGCCAAGCCUCGCGGGGCGGAUGACACGGAGCUUCCUCAGGCACGGCCUCAUCAGGCUAGCUCGUGAGGAGGCGGAGAAAUCAAGGCGGGGUACCUCACGAGGUGCCCGUGAUGCAAGCCAUGAAGACCAAGGGUGCCAGGCGGGCGCCAGCCCGCGCAGUCCUCCUUUCCUCUUUGGUGCAAAGGGAGCAAGCGCAGGCGAGAGCAUCAAGCAAAGGCACCUGUUUCGGUGCAACGAGACCAAGACCAACCCAACGGUAGUGAGGAAGUCAUUGUGGAGUCCAAGCCAGCGUCACCACCAGAGUCUUUGGCAGGCGAGGACCAACUUUAGUCAGGAUAAGUGUACCCGAUGUUCCCCUUCAAAAUGGCCAAUUGUUGGCGCCCUUCCCGCUCAAUAUUUGGAAAGAGGCCCAGGGCCUUUGCCUAUAAAUAGGACUAGCCACCCCUAGAGGAGGGGGGAUGAGAUGCGAUCAGGUAGAUGAGACCAGGGAUAAGAUCAUAGCGGCAAGAGAGAGAGAGGGAAGGGUGACUGAACUCCUCCUAGCAGUUCAUCCCCCCAGCCAAGAACAGACCCUCGCGAGGCUGUUCUUCCUUGUAUUGCUCAUCAUCAUCAGCCCAAGAGGCAAUCCACCAAACCACACUGGAGUAGGGUAUUACACCACAACGGUGGCCCGAACCAGUAUAAACCCUGUGUCUCUUGUGUUGUUCUUUCCAUAGCUUAGAUCUUAGCGAGGCGGUGGGGUGCAGGUAGGUAGAAGGCGAAAUCUCCACGCGCACCCCAGUGUUCGAACCUCAAGGGUCUGCCGGAACCCGAAACCUGACAUUUGGCGCGCCAGGUAGGGGUGCACCGGAGUUUCCCCUUCCGCCACCACCACGACCUGCCCCGCGAUGAGUAGCGCGUCGCCCGCUCCGGCCGCCGACGCCAACAUGGGGGCCAGGGGGCUCCGAGCCCUGGCCCCAGCUCUGCAACGAGUACGGUGGCCGGACAAGUUCAAGCCAACGACGCCGCCGCGCUACGGCGGCGCGAUUGGUCCGCUGGCCUUCUUGCUGGCGUACAAGGAGGCCAUCCUCGAAACCGGAGGUGAUGAUAGGGUCAUGGCCAACUGGCUUCCCAUGGCCCUGACCGGCGCUCCGCGCGCAUGGCUGCUCCACCUACCGGUAGCCUCCGUGGCCUCUUGGGAGGAGCUCCGCGGCCUCUUCCUCGCCCACCAUGCUACACCAACACCCCCGGUCGUCGAGGCCCUCCUGGGCGGCUCGCAGGAGCCGCCUACAAGUCACCACAUCAAGCCGUUCAUCCGCCGGGUCAGCACCGCUUCCACGCGGCAGGGGGCUCUCCCGGAUCGGGCGGCGUCUAAGGCUAGUCUGACCUUCAGCUCGGAGGACCACCCCUCCAACUCGGCCUGCUCGGGUGCGCUCCCCAUGCUGUGCACCCCCACCAUCUGCCAGGUGGCCGUCACCAGAACUCUCAUCGAUGGCGGCGCGGGCCUCACCGUGCUCUUGGUUGAGGCCUUCAGCCUCCUUUGCAUACCCCUGGAACGGCUGCAACCCAACCGGCCCUUCUCAGGCAUUGGGGGCGGGUCAUCUAGCUCCUUGGGACAGAUCCGGCUCCCAGUAACCUUCGGCACCUACGACAACUUCUACACGGAGCUGAUCGACUUCGACAUCGCCCCCAUCGGCCUCCCCUACAACGCCAUCCUCAGCUAUCCAGCGCUGGCCCAGUUCAUGGCCGCGACGCACCCGGCGUACAACCUCAUGAAGAUGCCCGGGAGCAGCGGUGUCCUCACCAUGCACGGGGACACCGGAGACGCGCUGCGAGUGCUCAAGCUCGCCUACAAGACGGCGGCGUCGGCACAGCCCGCCGACUCGGAGACCCCCGAGCCCAAGGGGGCUGCACUCGCCAAGAAGAAACAGUUGUUCACCGAAGACAAGGCAGAAACCAAGCAGAUACCCGUCGAUGAGGACGGGUCCACCAACGCCACUUUCACCAUAGGCGCCAACCUUGAGCCCGAGCAGGAGAAGACCCUGGUCAAGUUCCUGCACGCGAACAAGAAGGUAUUCGCUUGGGAGCCUGACCAGUUGGCGGGGAUCCCUAGGAGCGUAAUCGAGCAUCACCUCAACGUGUGCCCCAACGUGCGCCCUGUGAAGCAGAAGGCAAGGCGGCAGUCCACAGAAAAGCAGGCCUUCAUCGUCCGAGAGACCCGCAAACUAGAAGCCGCUGGGGUCAUUCGCGAGGUCCGAUACCCGGAUUGGUUGUCCAACCCUGUCGUUGUGCCAAAGAAGGGAGGGAAGGAGUGCAUGUGUGUCGACUUCACCAACCUCAACAAGGCAUGCCCGCAAGAUCCGUUCCCGCUCCCCCGCAUCGACCAGAUCGUCGAUUCAACCGCAGAAUGCGACCUGCUAUGCUUCCUGGAUGCCUUCUCUGGGUAUCACCAGAUCAAGAUGGCGAUAGAAGACGUCGAAAAGACAGCCUUCCUAACCCCGUGUGGGGUGUACUGCUACACAUGCAUGCCCUUUGGGCUGCGUAACGCCGGGGCGACCUUUCAGCGGCUGAUGCACAUCACCUUGGGCCCGCAGCUCAGGAAGAAUGUUGAGGCUUACGUCGAUGACAUUGUGGUGAAGUCUCGGGAGGUCAGGACCCUGAUACAAGACCUGGAGGAAACCUUCGCGAGCCUCAACGCGGUGAACCUGCGGCUCAACCCAGAGAAGUGUGUGUUCGGAGUCCCCUCAGGCAAACUCUUGGGUUUCCCCUUGUCCCACCGAGGCAUCGAGGCUAACCCGGAAAAGGUCAAGGCGGUUGAGGACAUGAGCCCGCCAAAGACCCUCAGAGAAAUGCAGAAGCUCACUGGGCGCGUGAUCGUGCUAGGGCGAUUCAUCUCCAAGUUGGGGGAGCAAGCGCUGCCCUUCUUCCAGCUAAUGAAGAAAAAGGGGCCCUUUGAAUGGACCGAAGAGGCUGACAAGGCUUUCCAAGAUCUCAAGAGAUACCUGACCAGCCCUAUGGUCAUGGUGGCUCCGCGCCCUCAAGAGCCCCUGGUGCUUUACCUCGCCGCCACUCCCUACUCCGCCAGCGCAGCCCUGGUGGCGGUUAGGGAGGAGCGUCGAAUCAAAACCACAGUAGCAGCCCGGGACAAGGCAAAACAGGGACAAGGAAGGCCCACAGAAACCACCACCGCGGCUGAGGAGGAUCAGCCGCCGCAGAGGAGUGCACCGGAGGUGAAAGAGGCCCCUCUCCCAGAUAGCCAUCCUCCGGAGGCCUCAUCGCCUCAGGAGGCGCCAUGGUCUCUGGAGGGCGCCACCAGCACUGACGCACCCAACCUCAUUGAGCACCCAGUGUACUUCGUCAGCAUGGUGUUGCGGGACGCGAGGGCACGGUACCCCAUGCCUCAGAAGCUCCUCCUCGCGCUACUGGUGGCCUCGCGCAAGCUGCGGCACUAUUUUUAGGGUCACCCCAUCAAGGUCGUCUCGUCAUACCCCUUGGAGAGAGUGAUCAGGAGCCCUAACUCAGCCGAAAGGGUCGCUGAGUGAAACAUAGAACUGCAAGCAUUUCAGCUUGAAUUCAGCACGACCAGAGUCAUCAAGGGAGCAGCAUUAGCUGAUUUUGUGGCAGAAUGGACGGAGGCACCAGGCCUCAAGGCCGACAAGGAUCGAUCCCUCUCCCUGGGAAGCGAGGCGCCAGAAGGUUGGGUCAUGUACUUCGAUGGGGCGUUCUCCAGGCAUGGCGCUGGAGCUGGGGCGGUGCUUAUAUCGCCCACUCAGGACAAGCUCUACUACGCUGUACAGCUCUGUUUCCAGCAAGGUGAAAAGGUCUCCAACAACAUAGCGGAGUAUGAAGGUCUAAUAGCGGGCUUGAAGGCCGCAGCUGCCUUGGGGGUGAAACGCCUCACCAUCAAGGGUGAUUCGCAGCUCCUUGUCAAUUUCUCCAACAAGGUGUACGAGCCGAAAGAUGAGCACAUGGAAGCCUACCUUGCGGAGGUCCGCAGGAUGGAGAAGCAGUUCUGGGGGUUGGAGUUGCAGCAUGUGCCCCGUGGCACCAAUCAGGAGGCCAACGACAUCGCCAAAUGGGCGUCCAAGCAGUUGCCUCAGGAGCCUGGUGUCCUCGAGGAGUGACUCUUCAGGCCCUCGACCCUGCCGUCAUUGUCAAACACGGCUCAGCCUCGGGAGGAGCUCCCCCAGCCACCUGCUUCAGGAGCCCCGGUCUGUGGCCCGGCCUCAGGAGCACGCCUGCUCCUGAUGAUGGAGCCUCAGGAGGGGGACUAGAUCACAGAACUCUGGAGUUACUUAACACAAGGGACCCUGCCGGAGAAGGAGGAGGAGGCGGAGCGUGCGGCACGGCUGGCCACGACAUAUUGCAUCAAGGAUGGAGAGCUCUACCGGAAGCGACCAAACGAUGUAUCCCUGCACUGCAUCUCCAGGGAGCAAGGAAAGGAGCUGCUGGAAGACAUACACGGCGGAGACUGUGGACGUCCUUCAUCAUCACGGACCCUGGUCGGCAAGGCGUUCCGCAGUGGGUUUUACUGGCCCAUCGCACUCAAUGACGCCAUCGAACUGGUGAAGGCUUGUGAGGCCCGCCAGUUCCACGCCAAGUAGAUCCAUCGGCCGGCAGGAGGCCUGCAGACUAUACCCCUUUCGUGGCCGUUCGAAGUCUGGGAGCUAGACAUCCUGGGCCCGUUUCCUCGGGCGCCCGGGGGCUACCGCUACCUCUACGUCGCCGUGGACAAGUUCACCAAGUGGGCUGAAGUAGAAGCCGUCCGCACCAUCCCCGCGGGUUCUGCGGUCAAGUUCAUCAGGGGCAUCGUGCGCCGGUUCGGGGUGCUGAACCGCAUCAUCACAGACAACGGUUCGCAAUUCACCAGUAACCUCUUCAAAACAUAUUGUGCUAACCUUGGAACGCAGAUAUGCUACGCUUCGGUGGCACACUCCCGAAGCAACGGUCAGGCCGAGCGAGCCAACGCAAAGGUCCUGAGGGGCCUUAAGACCAGGACAUUCAAGAAGAAGCUGGAGGCCUGCGGCAGAGGUUGGUACGAUGAGCUUCAGUCCGUGCUGUGGUCCAUCCGCACAACCGCGACCAAGCCGACUGGAGAGACCCCGUUCUUCCUGGUCUACGGAGCCGAAGCAGUCCUCCCUCACGAGGUCAGAUGUUGCUCCGCAUGGGUCCUGGCGUUCGACGAGGCGCAGCAGGACGCCAUGCGGGGGAUGGACCUCGUGCUGGGGGAGGAACAUCGCCAAGAAGCCGCGCUGCGAGCGGCGAGGUACCAGCAAGCACUGCGACGAUACCACUGCCGCAACAUCUGCCCCAGAACUCUCGAGGUAGGAGACCUCGUGCUCAGGCAGGUUCUCUUAGGGAGGGACUGCACAAGCUAUCUCCCAUGUGGGAGGGCCCGUUCAAGGUUGUUCAUGUUUCCAGGCCUAGCUCCGCGCGCUUGGAGACUCAGGAGGGGGUGCCGGUUCAGAACGCAUGGAACAUCCAACACCUCCGGAGGUUCUACCCUUAAAAAGGCCCAGAGCCUAUGAAGAAGGCGAAUGCCUGUGAAGCUGUCGCGUCUUGGAAAAGGCCCAGAGCCUGUGAAGAAGGCGAAUGCCUGUGAAGCUGUCGCGUCUUGGAAAAGGCCCAGAGCCUGUGAAGAAGGCGAAUGCCUAUGAAGCUGUCGCGUUUUGGAAAAGGCCCAGAGGCUGUGAAGAAGGCGAAUGCCUGUGAAGCUGUCGCGUUUUGGAAAAGGCCUGGAGCCUGUGAAGAAGGCGAAUGCCUGUGAAGCUGUGGCACUUUGGAAAAGGCCCGGAGCCUGUGAAGAAGGCCAACGCUUGUGAAGCUCGCCGCCCGUGAUACUCUCACGUAAUAAUGAGUUGGGGCUGUACAUGCCCCGGAGUCUCAGGUGCGCUGGCCUCAGGCCCUGGGGCUCCCUCCCACACCUAGUGGCAGCACUUAGCUCCGCGCUGGUGAGAAGACAUCGAAGACUAGAUUAGGUGCUGGACGCGGCUUUUUCAUUUGCUUUCCACAGUUGGCUUGUUCAUUCUCAUCCGAAGUUUUGUUGAAGCUGUCGCCGUCUUUGACUUGUGGUUCUUUGACUUUUCACUCUCCUGCCUCGAUUUCUCUUAUGCAAGGCCUCGCGAGGGGGGCAGCCGAGCGCCCUCGUGAGUGUUUCCGUCCUAUUCGUUCAAAGGUUUCGCGACCUGGGUCCAUUACAGGAGCACCCCUCCAGUCUGUGCCCCACAGGCACCGCGACACGAUCAAAGGGCCUGGGUCGGUCGCCCCCCCAUGGCUGGGGCCGGGAACUAUCUACGCGCGCCACGUAGCUGAAGUUACGAUAACGGAAGCAAAGCGAUGAUUAACAGCAAUAACCCAAACACGCCCCCGCGGGGCUCCACGCUACUGUCUUUUUACGCAGGAAAAAGGAAAAGAAAGAGCAAAUCAGGCACAGCUCGCCUCACACUGGCCUGCAGGGAAGACUCGGGCUGCCUCCGGGGCUCAGGCAGACUCCCUCUCGCGCUUCACCGAGGCGCGACGACGGGCAGGCGCGCUACCACCUUCCAGGUAGGUAUGAUGGCGUGGAGGCUGAUCGCGGCCACCGCUAGAAGAGUCGCUGCCUGAAGAAGAAGGAGAAGCAAGGGGGGAUGAACUGGAAGGGCGCGUGCCGUUCCGUACUUAUAGCUGGCGAAGGCCAAUCGUCGACCUCCACGAUCGCAGGUAAUCAUGACUCGCUUUGCAUGCAGGGACUUGUCCGAUCCAUGCAGUUGCCGAGGCGCCGUGGGGAAGUGGAGACGCCCACGUCCAAUCAACUGCCACGCGGCGCCCAAGGCCGCAGGCUGUUAGGGCCCGCGGCGCUUCGCUCUUGCCCUUUCGCCUCCCAGCACGGCCAAGUCCGGGCGCACCUUGGGCCCAGGGGCUACUGUCGGCGUUCUGGGAACGGGGGUCCCCAGACUUGCCUGCCUGCAGCCUGCGGCGUGGCUCAAAGGGGGCCCAGCACGGCCCAUCUUCAUCAACACGGACCCAAGACCCUCGCGAGGGGCCAAGCCUCACGGGGCGAACGACACGGAGCUUCCUCAGGCACGGCCUCAUCAGGCUAGCUCGCGAGGAGGCGGAGAAAUCAAGGCGGGGUACCUCACGAGGUGCCCAUGACGCAAGACAUGACGACCAAGGGUGCCAGGCGGGCGCUAGCCCGCGCAGUGUCCUCCUUUCCUCUUUGGUGCAAAGGGAGCAAGCGCAGGCGAGAGCAUCAAGCAAAGGCACCCGUUUCGGUGCAACGAGACCAAGACCAACCCAACGGCAGGGAGGAAGUCAUUGUGGAGCCCAAGCCAGCGUCACCACCAGAGUGUUUGGCAGGCGAGGACCAACUUUAGUCAGGAUAAGUGUACCCGAUGUUCCCCUUCAAAAUGGCCAAUUUUUGGCGCCCUUCCCGCUCAAUAUUUGGGAAGAGGCCCAGGGCCUUUGCCUAUAAAUAGGACUAGCCACCCCCAGAGGAGGGGGGAUGAGAUGAGAUCAGGUAGAUGAGACCGGGGAUAAGAUCAUAGCGGCAAGAGAGAGAGAGAGAGAGAGAGAGAGAGAAGGGUGACUGAACUCCUCCUAGCAGUUCAUCCCCCCAGCCAAGAACAGACCCUCGCGAGGCUGUUCUUCCUUGUAUUGCUCAUCAUCAUCAGCCCAAGAGGCAAUCCACCAAACCACACUGGAGUAGGGUAUUACACCACAACGGUGGCCCGAACCAGUAUAAACCUGUGUCUCUUGUGUUGUUCUUUCCAUAGCUUAGAUCUUAGCGAGGCAGUGGGGUGCAGGUAGGUAGAAGGCAAAAUCUCCGCGCACACCCCAGUGUUCGAACCUCAAGGGUCUGCUAGAACCCGAAACCCGACAACUACCUUAUCGAUGUUCGAGAGCAUAAAGACUCACGUAAAUAUAGCUCAUCUUUGGCAUUACAUUACUUGAGCCACAGGCUCUUCUUAUGUACAUAGUUAUGAUAAUGUAUAUAUUAUGAUCAAUAUAAUAAACCAACGCCUCAGCUAAAGCGGGGUAUCCGUUGUCUUCUUAUAUCAUGUGUGGCUACAUGGGGGCUUUUGUUCAUAAAGCGGAGUCCGGUUUACCCCUUGAUUCAUCUUAUACAGCUUUAUAUAAAAAAAUCACUUGGGGGCUUGGUCGUAUUCGAACCAUAGCUACACCUCUUGAUCGGCUCAAAGCCAAAAGGAAAAUUACUUAGGGGCCAAAGAGAGUGUUGCAAAAGAACAACUCAAACAUAGGCACCCACUGAGCACAGCUCAAAAUAUUGCUUGGGGAUUCUUUGCUUCGCAAUGAACACAGAAUCUACACUUGUAAUAGGCUAUCAAGCCAUGGCUUGGAAGCCUGGUGUAUACACCUAAAACCCCGGGUUAGCCUACCUUUUUAAGUAAGCCACUCCGUCCAGGUAAACCUGGUAUGACCCGUCAAACUUUUGACAAGUCAAUCUCAUAGACCCUAAACUUGUCAAAGUUAAAACGACGAUUGGUUAAAGAUUGAGGUCCAUCUUAAAAGGCUUUGUAAAAUGGUUUAACUCAGCGGCCUGUAGCCCAUGAAAAGCCUUGAAUUUGGGGCCUGGAAGCCCAUGAAAAGCCUCGAGUACAAAGUUUUCACAUGCUUUUAUUUGCAAAAAAAAAUUCUCUUUUGAUGAGAUUUAUUAUGGUUUUGAUAAACCGGCGUUCCUUGAUCCGGUUCAAUUUUCAAAUACAAGUUGCCAGUGCAUGAUCAAGCAUAAAUCCGGUGCUUAUUAACACGGUCUGGUUUUCGAUUACAAAUCGCCAGUGUUACAUACGGAUAAUCCGGUGUUUUUCAUAAAUCAGUACAGUUUUAUCAUAAACCGACACAAUGUGGAAGGAGUUAUCAGUACUCAUGAUUGGGGUUGUUGCCAUCACUACAAAAGUUGGUCAACCAGCAUUGUGAUUCAAUGUCACAUGUAUCAUUUAUUUUCAUAUUUGAUUAUCUUUUUAUAGCCUUGGUUAUCAAUCCAUAGGACAUAUGUUUGGGCAUCAUGACCCGUCCGGUGAUAAACCGCCCAGACACUUUCAAAUUUCUUAUAUGCAGGAACAAUUUAAAUAGCACCGCUACGGAUUAUGAACAUAAUAUCUCCUAAAGCAUGGUGGAUUCACAAUAUCAGGCAAAAAAAGUAUGCACGAUGGCAUAGCAGACCAAGUGUUUUCAACUAGCCUAUUACAAGGCGUUUUAAUGCCCAACAGAAUAAUUGUUUUCGGCAAAGGUGGCAGUACGCCGAAUGCUAAACCGGUCUCCAGAUUAUGACUCGUCACCAGGCUGAGUUGACAGCUGCGGAUCGUCCUGCGCUGGUGCAUCUUCCUCCCCUCUACCUAGUGGCUGGAAGUCAAUGGUUGCCCAAUUGAUUCCAGUUAAGGCUUGGAACACAGCUUCGUCACUUAUAAGGUUUGAGGGGUCAACAUCAGGGGCAUAGGUGUGCUUACGGAUUGGCGGAAUAAGAUCUUCUACAUCAUGUGUCGGCGCAGGAUAUCUUUUCUGAUCAGAAUCAUAAACCGGCUGAUAAUGAGAGAGAUCUGUUUCAUCAGCCAAUUUUCUCGCUAUGGGGCGCAUUUCCCUCGUCAGCCUUCGAAGAUCAUCAUUGUUAAAUUCUGAGCCAUCUUCCUUCACGCUAGGGUAGCCGCGGCCUAUAUCUAACAGUUCAAGAUCUGGUAUCCGUGCCUUCGCCCGGAUUAGCGCGGUCAGCGCACCUGACCUGGCAGCUGAUCUUUUUAGUUUGUCCAACCGGGCAGGCAACAUAGAAAGCUUCUCAAUGAUCUCUUUUAUUAAGGUUGGAGGCGGUUUAUUAUGCGCAGCGGUGCAAAUGGCCCAUUGAGCUCUAGAAUAUAGCUGCUCUAUCAGUGUAUAGGCAGCCUUCAGCUUCAUCCGUAUGUCAGAGACCAGAUGGGUAAUGCGAGUUCCUGUGUCAUUACAAGCAUCAGUAAUCGGCAACCGAUGAGAUAAUUUAUAUUGAAAAAGCUUCAGGUGAGGUACUUACCAAAAACAGCAGCCGUCAUGGCAUUGAUCUGCCGCUUUAAACCGGUCAGCUCUUCCACCACCGGUUUAAGAGCUGCCUCCACGUCUUCGGCUCUCUUUUGUAAAGUGGUUUUCUCUAUGUCCCAGUCUGCCUGUUCCUUCUUCAAAGAUUCUUUCAGCUUCUCCAUGGUUGCUAAGGCACUAGCCAGUUCUUCUUUGGCUUUGGAGGUCUCUGCUUGCUGGGUUUUGAUAUUUUCUUGCAGGUCAGCGAUUUGGGCUUCCUUUUUGCUCAGCUUAGCCUAUAAGAGACAAACAUGUUAUGCGAUGGCAAUGAAAUUUGGAAGUCCCAAGCGCAUAACAAGUUAUACACUUGGCACUUGGGGGCUAAUGCCUAUUUUCUUGAUUCUCAGAAUUUUUUUAACAAGUCCCAAGCACAAUACAAGUAUUAUUCUUGACACUCGGGGGCUAAUGUAUGUUUGCUCAAAGUAACACUGGUUAAAAGUGCCGGUUCAGCUUGGAAAGAUAAAUCAGCCCUUGGGGACUACACUGAUGAAAGUUUCAAUAUUAUAAAUUAAAAGUACCAGUUCAUCCCAAAAGAUAAACCGGCCCUUGGAAUAUAAGCAUGAAGAGUUGUGAUAUUGCAAAGUCCCAGUUUAGAUGGGCGCCAUAAAUCGGCCCUUGGGGGCUACUGGAGUUGGUACUAAAAAUUUGGACAUAAAAGAGAAACAGUUAUGAAGUUACCUCAUAUCGCUCCUUCAUCAGAUUCACUAAACUGGCUUCGUAGUCACGGUUAGUGUAUAGACGGUUUAAGAAACCAGAAUGAAGUUCUUGGGCGUUGAGGUGGGCAUAGCUUGACAAGUGUGUGCUCCACUUUCCUUUGCCCAUAGCAGAGAGUUCCUCCUUGGCACUAUGGUUUGACAAUGCAACAUGAUUGCCAGGGGUGGUGUGGCCAACACCAGUAAUUAUAACAUCAUCUUCCUUGUCACCAACAGCCUUUACCGGAGUCGACGAUUCAUGAGCAGCCUUAAAGGGACUUGACGGUCUAUUAUCAGUUGGGACCGGGCUUGCCGGUUUAUCAAUAUGACCUGUUACAUCAACUUCUGCUUGUUCAACAAAAUCAUGGUCCUCAAGGGGUGGAUCAUCAGGCAUGGCAUCAGCAUUGGUUCUUUCCAAUUCUGAAGUUCCCUCCGGUUCAACAACCACAUGGUCGUCAGACGGUUUAUCUACACGAGCCUUCUUGCUAGGUCUGGCCUUGGCUCUGAAAGAAAAAGAUAUAAAGGUCAGUAUAACAUGUAAAUAUAAGGCGUCAAAAGGAGUAGGUUUACAGUGUUUACCCAGGAACAAUUUUAAGUGGGGGAAGCUGUGUGGCUGUAGACUCGCCGGAUGAUGAAAGAAGUGUUCCCUGAUAAUUUGAAUCGGAUGGAUUAAGAGGCUGUCGGAAAUAACCCGCCUUGGGAUAAGAAGUAUCGGAAGUGUUUGAGACCUCAGAUCGACGCUUCUGGCGUGUUCGUUAACCGGCCAAAGUGAUUACUUGGCCACCAUGUCGGGUUGUGCGGCGAGCUUCGUGUUGCUGCUUCUUCAAAAGAAAGUUUGGGUCCAAGUGAGCUAGGGGGUGAGAAAAUCUUACUUUCUGGAUUGCUUUAUGGAUUUUUUGUGUUGGCAGAGGAUCUGAACCAGAGGAAAGGAUAAUUACCUCUGCAUCAUCAGCUUGGCUGCCUUCGGCGUCAUCCUGAUAAUGAUUAUUGUCAAUGAGGUGUAUGAAAAAUGAACCAAGAGAGUCAAGUUCUACCUCUGCGUCCGGGUCAUCAAGGUUGUCAUCAAGGUUUAACCCGAUGGGUUCAGCUGCCUUUUUCUUGGCAGGUCUUUUAACAACCUUCGUCUUUGGUCGAGGGGUCUUGGCCGGUUUUUCCUGUGGUUUCUUCUUCUAGAAUGGGUCGUCACCCUGUUAAGAGAUUAACAGAAGAUAUAAAAUAUUACACGAAUAAGAAUAUCAAGUACAAGCAGGAGUAAGGUAAGUCUUACAGCCGGCCGUUUAUUGGAAACGCAGAAGAGACUAAGCCCUGUUUUGCUGCAGACAGCCACUGGUUCAUCCAACAUCUUCUUAACACAUUCAGUAACUUCAGCCUCUGUUAGCUGAAUAUCAAUGUGUCAUUGAGGAUCUUUUAAGUCCCCUGUGUACUAACACAUUAAACUGGAGGGACGGCUUAACGGUAAAAUACUCCAAGUUAUCCAGCAACGAGCAAAAUCAACUCCUGUCAGACUGUUAGCCAUAAAGGCUCUGAGCUUGGCGAGUUGUGGAGCAUAUGUGGACCAUUCCUUGGUAGUCAGCCGUUGUGGAAGUGGGUGCAUGUUGGUAAGACGGUGAGCACGGUAACCCGGCAGAGGGUUCUCCUCUUCAGGGGAAGUAUCGUUGUAGUAGAACCAAGUCUGGUUCCAAUCCUUAGGAUGACUGUGAAGUUUGGCGUGAGGAAAGCUGACGUCCUUCCUUUUCUGAAUGGAGACACCACCAAGUUCAGUGUUGGGCCCGUCUACAAAUUCAGUACAACGGUUUAAAUAGAAAAAAUCCCAGAGCAGUUCAACAGUUGGCUCUUCUUGUAAAUAGGCCUCAGAGAACACUUGAAAAUGGCAAAUAUUGGACACAAAGUUAGGUCCAAUGUCUUGAGUGGAUCUGGAAGCUGGCAAGCACAUCACGGAAAAACUUGGACCUGAGCAGUUUAAAACCAAGGCUCAUGUGAUCAACGAAUACCACUAUCUCGCCAUCCUUGGGGGUAGGAGGAUUCUCUGGACCAGGAACUCGCUAGUGGAUUUUGCUUUGUUUUGGUAAAGCGCCAGUUCUGACACAUCUAUCUAGCUGCUCCUCAGUAACCCGGGAAGGGACCCAGUUACAUGCAUAGAACUGUUUGGCCAUUUUGAAUAAGGAGCUGGAAAAGAUUGAUGCCGGUUUAAGACUCAUGAUUAGCAAGCAUAAAGCAUAGCAGGUUAAGGAAAAAGCAUUCAAGCAUGCAAAAUUGUUAUACUGGAGUCUGACAAUGGAGGACGUGCAAAGAUAAAUGAAUCGACGGUUUAAGAGGGGACUAAUGGUACCUACCGGAUUAUCAUCUUUCAAAAAGCUAAACCGCCUAUAUUGGUAUGAAAGGCACAGAUCUAAAAUACCUAAGUAAGGGUAAAACAAGUUUUCACAAAUUGGUAUGAUAAUUUUAGAUCUGCGGUGCGACAGAAAACUAGAAUAUAUUCAGACCUAAACUUCAGGUACUUAAGCAGUUCAUCAGGAUCAGAUGAGUCUUUCUAUAUGAAGGGGAUGCUCUAAUUAAGAAAAAGUAGUGCCGACUAAAAAGGCACCGAAAAAUAUCAGAUCUAGCUUGCCAUUUGCGCUACUGAGAAGAACAACUCUAGAACUUCAAAGAGCUCCGAUGAGUGCAAACCCUAAUGAUAAGAUCUAGGGUGGAAGGAGAGAAGGCUUACCAGUGUCAAAGGAACAGCGGAGAGGCGCCGCAACUUUCUGGUACGAUCAGGGUGAUGCAGCGGCCGUUGUUGGGGCAGAUGCGAAGGUCGACGGCGGCGGCAGAGCUCCAACGUUCGGGCGACGCGAGGAAGAAGACGAUGUGAAGGGGCAUGAAGGGAAAAAUGAAAAGGACCCCUUGUCCUUAUUUCUAAGGUGAAUGGAUAAGCGAUAGGCGCGGAAACUGAGGAGCCCAAAAAAUGGGUAUACAACAAGGUUGUUGCCUCGAUUGUUGGAGGAUCAUUAAUGAAGGGUUUCUUCGGUUUUAAUAAACAGAUGAUGCCAUGGCGGUUUAUCAUGAUCCUGGAAGAUGAAGUCAUGGUGGUUUAUGAGACUUGCAUGAAGGUGCUGAAGAAGAAAUUUUCCUAAGUAUUGAAGACUGACAUGAACCAGUUCAAAUCAAUUUGGGGCCUAAUGUUGGGGAUAUUACUGCUGGGCAUAAACUGGCUAGGAGAGGCCGGAUUAUCCCCAUAAUGAGUUAUUGUAUUUGAAGCCCAUGAAGACAAAGAUGGUGGCGCUUUAUGAAGACCCAGGGCCCAAAGGCGGAUUAAGGCCUAUAGACAUAAACCGACAUUGAUAUGUAAACUUGUGAUGUAAGAUAGAAAGAGUAGAGACCGAGCUGGACACGUUUAUGAGCUGGCCUCGGGAUUCUGUAAACCGACGGGCGUAAACCUAUGUAUAUAAAGGGACGAACUGGCGGUAGUUUAGGGACAACAAACAAUAACUUGAGAGCCAUGCAAAGCGGAUUCGCUCCCUGGUCAUCGAGCCCCAAGCAAUUCCAUCACAACUGGACGUAGACUUUUACCUUCACCGUAAGGGGCCGAACCAGUAUAACUCCUUGCGUCCCUUGUCCGCUUUAACCCCUUUAAGCUAACCCGUAGCGAUGGCUCCACAACUAAGUCCUUUCACGAGGACAUCUGCCGUGACAAUUCCACGACACUUCCCAUUAGCAAUCAUGUGAAAGAAUUGUGUAUUAUCAUCCCCUUGGACGAUUUUAGACACUUUUGCUCUAAGCGCCCAUUUCAUCUCCUUUUCUCUCAUGAGGGUUUGCAACUUCUUCUCGGCCUCAUUCUUAAUAUCUCUCUCGGAAGUAUUAAGAAGGAUCGAUUCUGCUUUCACACCAAGUUCAUUAAUAAUUCUUAUCAAUCUUUCCUUUUCCACUUUAUAUAAACCACUUUGGUGUUUGGCCCAGCCUCUCAAAAAUUGGCGCAGAUGCCUAAUUUUGUUUUGCCAUCUCUCCACACUAGAAGACCCUCCCAUGUCUCUGGCCCAUUCAGUCGUGAUGAGAUGGAUCUUGCCGAGGAGCAGGAGCUUCAGAGUCAGCGUGUGCCCGAAUGCUACGUGCAUGCCUGGCUUCCAGUCCGCGGAUUCUGUGUUCACCGGUGUCAGAUCGUCCCUCUUUCUUUUCUUCUUCUUAUUCUUCUUCUUCUUCUUCUUCCUAUUGUCGACACGUGGGGUAGCAAGACCAAUGGAGGCCCUGAGAAGCUUGGCCAGGCGCUUGACGGCUGCAGGGCAUAUGCCGUAGUGCGCCCGAAGGAUCCUGGACACCUUGACCGGCGGAGAUGCCAACGACACGCACACCAAGGUGGCCGGUUCAGGGUGCCUCGCAAAAACGGCGACACACUCCACGGCUACUUGCGUCGUGAGGGAGAUGGUACUGAACGCCGCCUCGUCCGGGCUCCUGUUACGGUCUUGCUCAUGGAGCUGCGUGGCACCGAGGGGGUCGCCUUCGGCCAGGCACAGGUAGCGCAUUGCCUCUUUUUUCUCCAAGUAGCGGUACUGGAAGCAAAGGAAGGUGACAAGACCCUCCAGCGACUGUCGUUCCAUAGUCAUGGAGUCGACCGUCUCUCGGUACAACGGUAUAUCAAAGAUUUGUCUAUAUUUUGUGUUGGUCCUCACCCUAGAGAUGAUCGAAUCCUUCACAUCAUCCUCUUCCUCCUCGAUUUCCUCCUCCUCGGGGAUGGGUGUGUAGGAUAUGAUGUUGGCGAUGAUGUUGGACACCGGGUCGAGCAAGCCGAAGCACACGCCGGCCUUGAGGAGGCGUGUGGCCAACGAGGGUAUCCUCUCCGCUGGCAGCCGGUCGAGCGCCGCCUUGUAGAAACCGUGGAUGCGAUCGAGCAAGAUUCAUAUGUCCUGCCUGACGCUCUCAGGCGUGAUGCCGUAAGGCCAACUCCAACGUGCGACCCCAUCCGGACGUCCGUUUUUCCCGGAUUCUGUCCAUUUGGGUAGGGCAAUGGGGUCGUGUCCAGGCAUUUUCUGAGAUGCGGUGGCCGUGCUCCUAACAUGUGGACGCAUCCCAACCGCAUCCUGUCUGCGUACAUUUUUCUUUGCAAGCCCAUAUCUUUUUUUCAUCAUUGAUUUUUGAUACAUGGGAAAUACAUCACCAAAUUUUGACUACUCUUGUAAGGUAUCCAAACAAGAACCACAAGAAUACAUUUUAGAAGGUAUCCAACUUGCAUGACUGGUCUUGUAAGUUUGAUUAGUGCCUUCUCGAUGCAUUCAUUGUUGAUCCAUGGAGGCUCGAUCUUGUGUGCUUCUUUCCUCUUCGAGUGUAAAGAACUAGACGUUGCUUCCUCACAUCCACUCUCGUGUCUAGCCUCUAUUCUAGCAACAAGUGCACUAGUCUCAUCUCUAGCCUCUAUGCUAGCUAAAAGUGCACGAACAUCUACUAAAUUGCGCUCUAUCAAUAUAUCAAUGUACUCUUCUUUCCAAUACCAAAACUUGCAUCCAUUCUACACAAUAAAAUUUUUAGGUUAGCACAACCAAAGCUAAAGUAGCACAUACCCCAUCGUUUGAGCACCUGAUGAACACCCAUUUGGAAUGUUCCGGCGUUGUAGACACGCGAUGCAAGACCUUCUUUGGGCAGUCAUCGCACUUAAUGAGUGGCAACGGUGCGCCAAUGAGCUUUAGGGCCAGCACCGAGCCUGGCCGACCGCCAUUCAUGUAUUUGACGGCAGACCACCGACGGUGUAGAUCCGAGCAGCUAGAGGAGGAGCCAAUACCUGCAUGCGGCCUUGCGGCCUUGUGCGGGCCUUCCGGCCUGGUGCCCGGCCAGUCCAUGGCACAGUGCGGCCUCCCACAACCGGGAGAGCUCAAGCUUGACCGGAUCCGCUCCAAAUCCGACCAUCGGGUGCGCAAAUCAGGAGGCCGUGGUUGGGUAGCUCGGGGGCGUCAAGGGAAAGGAGGCUGGGCGAGCGCACGUCCGAACUGCACAGCUGCAAUGGCAGCGUGCAGCGGUGGCAACGACGAGGGGCAAGAAUGGAGAAGAGUGGAGGGGGUGUGAUACGUCUCCGUCGUGUCUAUAAUUUUAGAUUGCUUCAUGCCAAUAUUGUACAACUUUCAUAUACUUUUGGCAACUUUUUAUACUAUUUUUGGGACUAACAUAUUGAUCCAGUGCCUAGUGCCAGUUCCUGUUUGUUGCAUGUUUUUUGUUUCACAGAAAAUCUAGAUCGAACGGACUCCAAAUGGGAUAAAAACUGACAGAGAUUUUUUUUAGAAUAUAUGUGAUUUUUGGGAAGAAGAAUCAACGCGAGACGAUGCCCGAGGGGGCCACGAGGCAGGGGGCGCGCCCCGGGGGGUCAAGCGUGCCCUGGGCCUCGUGGCCAGCCCAUAAGGCGGUUGGUGCCCUUAUUUCACCGCAAGAAAGCUAAUAUUCGGAUAAAAAUCGUGUCCAAAAUUCAGCCCAAUCGGAGUUACGGAUCUCCGGGAAUUUAAGAAACGGUGAAAGGGCAGAAUCUGGAACGCAGAAACAGAGAGAGACAGAGAGACAGAUCCAAUCUCGGAGGGGCCCCUCCGCUGCCAUGGAGGCCAUGGACCAGAGGGAAACCCUUCUUUCAUCUAGGGGGAAGGUCAAGGAAGAAGAAGAAUAAGGGGGGCUCUCUCCCCCUCUCUCCCGGUGGCACCGGAACACCGCCGGGGCCAUCAUCAUCACCGCAAUCUACACCAACAACUUCACCACCAUCAUCACCAACUCUCUCCCCUCUAUGUAGCGGUGUAACCCCUCUUUUACCAGUUGUAAUAUCUACUUAUACAUGGUGCUCAACUCUAUGUAUUAUUUCCCAAUGAUGUAUGGCUAUCCUAUGAUGUUUGAGUAGAUCUGUUUUAUCCUAUGGGUUAAUUGAUGAUCAUGAUUGGUUUGAGUUGCAUGUUUUAUUAUUGGUGUUGUCCUAUGGUGCUCUCCGUAUCACGCAAGCAUGAGGGAUCUCUGUUGUAGGGUUUGCAAUAUGUUCAUGAUUUGCUUAUGGUGGGUGGCGUGAGUGACAGAAGCACAGACCCGAGUAAGUAGGUUGUUUGCGUAUGGGAGUAAAGAGGACUUGAUGCCUUAUAAUGCUAUGGUUGGGUUUUACCUUAAUGAUCUUUAGUAGUUGCGGAUGUUUUCUAGAGUUCCAAUCAUAAGUGCAUAUGAUCCAAGAAGAUAAAGUAUGUUAGCUUAUGCCUCUCCCUCAAAUAAAAUUGCAAUAAUGAUUACCGGUCUAGUUAUCGAUUGUCUAGGGAAAAAUAACUUUCUGGUGUGACAACAAGCUCUCUACUAAACCUAACUUAGUUGUGUCUUUAUCUAAACAGCCCCUACUUUUUAUUUAUGCGCUCUUUAUUAUCUUGCAAACCUAUCCAACAACACCUACAAAGUACUUCUAGUUUCAUACUUGUUCUAGGUAAAGCGAACGUCAAGCGUGCAUAGAGUUGUAUCGGUGGUCGAUAGAACUUGAGGGAAUAUUUGUUCUACCUUUAGCUCCUCGUUGGAUUCGACACUCUUACUUAUCGAAAGAGGCUAUAAUUGAUCCUCUAUACUUGUGGGUUAUCAAGACCUUUUUCUGGCGCCGUUGCCGGGGAGCAAUAGCAUGGGGUGAAUAUUCUCGUGGGUGCUUGUUUGCUUUAUCACUAAGUAAUUUUUAUUUGUUGUUCUUAGUUGUUUUCUAUCUUUAGUUAUGGGUAGGAAACGCAAAAUACCAAAAAAAUUAGUUGUACCUACUACACCAAUGGUUGAAGAACCACUCAAAAUCUAUCACACUCCUGAAGCUUUUUACUUGGUUCAUCUUUGAUCCCUAUAUGCUCGUGUUGAAACACCAACUAGCUUAGUUGAGGGAAAAUCUUUAGAUGAGCAUGCUUGUUAUGUGCGACACAGCUUAUCUCAAAAAGGGAAACUUUUACUGGAUCACAUUCAUCGUUUGCAAUGCUAUGCUUGGAAUUUAUGUGAAAUAUAUGAUGUUACUUGUUGUUCUAAAAACCCUAAGAAACACCUUCCCUACCAAUGUGAGUUUAGUGAUAAUGGAAUCGUAUCUUCAUAUGCUAAGGGUGUUUAUAAUUACUAUGAUGUUCAACAAAUUGAAGAAUUUGUUGCUUUUAAGGGUGCUUAUGAAGUUUCUUUUUUGAUUGAAAAGUAUGAUGCUACUCUUUACAAAUCUGAAAAAUUUGCCAUACUUAAAUAUUGUUAUGAUAAUUAUGCUUCUAAUGCCUAUGUUAAACCAUAUAUUGAGGACUCCUCCGCUGUCCAAGAAGAGAAUAAUAUUUUGCAGGAGUCUAUGGAAGAAGAAAUUGAUGAAACUGUGAGCUCAUUGGAUGAAAAAGAUGAUGAGGAGAGCGAAGAACAAAAGGAGGAAAAGCAGAUUAGCUAUUCGUGCCCACCUUCUAAUGAGAGUAACUCUCCAACUCAUACAUUAUUUAGCGUCCCUUCAUUCUUACCGAAGGAUGAAUGCUAUGAUGAUUGUUAUGAUCCCAUUGAUUCUUUUGAAAUAUCCUUUUUUGAUGAUGCUUGCUAUGCUUGUGGCCAAGAUGCCAAUAUGAAUUAUGCUUAUGGAGAUGAACUUGCUAUAGUUCCUUAUGUUAAACAUGAAUUUUUUUUUGCUAUUGCACCCACGCAUGGUAGUCCUAUUAUCUUUUUGAAUUCUCCCGACUACACUAUAUCGGAGAAGUUUGCGCUUAUUAAGGAUUAUAUUGAUGGAUUGCGUUUUACUACUACACAUGAUUAUUUUGAUAGAUAUAAUAUGCAUGUUCUUGCUGCUCCUACUUGCAAUUAUUAUGAGAGAGGAACUACAUCUCCGCCUCUCCAUGUUUCCAAUAUGAUAAAAUUACAAGAAACUGUUUAUACUAUGCAUGGGACUUUACUAUGUGUGUAUGAAUUGUUCUUCUAUGACAUGCCGAUGCAUAGGAAGAGAUUUAGACUUCGUCAUUACAUGAUAUAUGUUACCUUGUGCUCACUACUAAAUCAUAAAUCAUUGUUAAUUAAAAUUGGCUUUGAUAUACCUUGGGAUCCGGGUGGAUCCAUUACUUGAGCACCUUAUGCCUAGCUUAAUGGCUUUAAAGAAAGCGCUGCCAGAGAGACAACCCAGAAGUUUUAGAGAGUCAUUUAUUUCUGUUGAGUGCUUUUAUAUAGUUUAAAAACAAAAAAUUAAAGAGGGAAACCCAAAAAUUUUCAAAAAGGAAAGUGAAAGUGAGAAAGACAAGCAUUGUUGAAGUGGGGGAGCUCCUUGAACUUUGUUCAUGCUCACGGAAACUUUGUUAAUCUUGAUUACAGAAACUUUUCAACAAAAAUAAUUAUCCCCUUGUACAACUCCAUUGUAUUAUAAAAAUAAUGUGCCAAGAUUUGCCUUUAGGAUGUUUACAUUACUUGUUGGUUUGUGCGGUGCAGAACAGAAACUUUGGCUGUAGUGCGUGUCACAGCCCUGAAAUUUGCUUGUCAUUAGUUGCAUUAAGGCAGUCAUGUCAUCAUGUUUAAAUUUCUCAGAAAAUUGAAAUGGGGAUGACAAACCCUAGCACCAAAAAUUAAAUCAAAUAGGGUCAGGUUUAAGCCUUUUCAAUAAACCCAAAAUGCCUUUAAAAAUGUUCAUCAUUUUUAGAAAAGAUUAAAACCUCUGACAAAAAUGAUGCGCAUGUUUCAAGGUCAUUCAUGGAUUUUUGAAUUAAAUCUUAUCAUAUUUGAAUUUGGGCAUUUAAACACUAUAAAUAAUUUAAAUGCUCAAAUAAUGCUAAAUUUAAAUGUGGACCACUGGAAUAAUCCAUAGAGUGUCCACAAAUUAUUGCAGCAUUUUACAAAAUGCUUUAGUAUUUUUACUAAAGCCAAAACAGCAGCAGAAAAAUAGAAAACAGAAGAAAAAAAAAUAGGAAGGAAACCCACCUAACUUACCUGGCAGCCCAUCCGCAUCCCAACACUGUGCAACCUAGCAGCAGCCCAGCCCACCGCAGCCGCCACCGUCUUCAACGUCCUGCCAGUAGGCAGGAGGGCGUGUGCCCGACGCAUGCGCGCACACGCCGGCCACCUCCUGCUUGCCUGCACGCCGCUGGAUUCACCCGAGGGCGCCACGCACCCUCCCUCGACCCUCUGCACCUCCUCCCUCCUUGCAGCUCUCUCCCCUCCCCUCGCUCUCCCGAAGCAGAGCGGAGCUCGUCGCCGCCGUACGCCGUAGAUGCGGCCUCCGUGCUCCCCUCGCCUCCCCGACGUGUCCACAAGCAUCGCCACGCCUCCCUCGUCCUCUCCGUCUAGCCACGCCUCGCCGGAGGCCUUGCAUCGACGCCAUCUUCAUCGUCUUCGUCGCCGGCCACCGGAGAUGCCUCUCGCCGCCCCGCUCGCUUUGGUGCUUCCCCGAGCACGCCGAGGCCACCUCUGCAUCCACCGUGAGCCCCUGCCCCUAACCCCCCUCCUCUAUGCCUCAGUUGCGCCCCCUAGCCGCCAUCUCCACCGAGCCUGAGCACUCUGCUCCGCCGGCAACGCCGUCGUCGUGGCCACAGCCACGCGGGCUCAAAACCGAGUGCGUCACCACAUUUGCCACACUCCCAGGAGGCCGUAGCCCCUCUCCACGCCCAUGUUGUGCAUCCCAGCACCGAACCCGAGCAUGUCCGAGCUCCGGCGGCCACCGCGAGCUCCGUUCCGGCGAGCUCCGGCGCCCCCACGGCCACCCACCUACCUCCCUGGAUGCGGGCGAGUCCGGGCUACGCCCCGAUGCCCUUAGCCACCGCCCUGUUGCCUUUAGCGCGAGUCCGGCGCGUUGCCGCCGCGGGUUUGGUCGCCGUCGGCCAACUCCGGUGACAGCCGACGCGGCGGGGUUCUGACAGCAUUGGUAUCAGAGCCUGACUGCUUGUAGGAUUACCAAGCCAGACUGGUCGAAGUUGAGUCUAGAAAUGCUUUAGUUAUAUAAGGGAAUUGAUUGUGGGAUGGAACAUAAGGCUCUUUUUAUUCCUUAUAUCUCGUGCCCUCUGAUCUGAGUCACCCUCUUCUCUUCUACGGGGAUUAAGAACUAUGCUUCUCAUCUUUCUAUCAGGAUCACGUGUUACUAAACCAUAGUUGCCUAGGAUUGUUGGAUUUAAGCCUCAGUUUAGUUCCUACUACUUCCAUAUGUUCAUAGCUGGCCUCAGAACCUUGAUAUUGUGUUGUUGAGUGGUUAUGCCACCAUUUUGCAGGAUGUCUCAAAUCUUUUGAGCAUUUACAGCCGUUAUACUGUCCGAGUCAUCCCAGGUCUCCAAAUAGUCUGAUGCAAUUGCAAAUCCUUUCUUCCCAUUUCUGAUAUCCUUUUGGGCAAGAUUAACCACACUAAUCGGUGAGUUGAGGCACUCUGUUGCCUCGACAUAUAGGUUGGAGCUAGUAUGAUGACCCUAGGUGUUUUAGAGGAUCACCUAGUAAUCUAGCCAUGUCUUGUGUUUCUAGUGUGAUGAUUCUGGCCAUCAUUCUUGAAAGCAUCCCGUGAUGCCAUUUAAUUAGUAGGUAUUCUAUUCCUGGGUUUGAACCCGAGAUUCACUCCAGUCACCUCCUGUUGAUAGUGUUUGCUUAUUCCUUUAGGAUAUUAGUAACCUUGCGACAGUCCUCGAGGUCUGUGGUAUUUCCUUCUUCCAAAUACCAUGAACCAUUAAGGCAGAAGUUCUUUGAACCAAAAUAUCACAAUCAGAGUACUCUUGAGGAGUUCUCCAUUCAUAAUUGUGAUUCUGUCAGUUCUACCUUUCUGCAUGGGUUAUCUGGAAGAAACUUGUUAAACUUGGUUCGACAUAUUAAUCUAUGCAUCCACAACUCAGAAAGAUAUAUGUCCUCUUGAGUUGUCCCUCUUCAAUUGUAUUCCGACCAUCCUCUAUCAAUUGAUAGUCAGGAGUAAUUGUGCAUCCAUGUUAUCGAUGCUAUUAUUCUUGUGGUCCAUUAAGCCAUUCUAUUUCAGAAUGACUAGGAGAACAAACUCUAGUACCUCAUCCAUAUCCAGGAUUGGGUCAAAGUAGUUGUGUUCUGCAGAUCAAAUGCUAAUCCAGCUUUUGCUCUGUUCUACCGUGAAGUAUUACCCACUUUAUGUCAAGAAUAUUGUGAGAAUUGCACCAUCUCUUAUGAACUCUUGAUGCAGUGAUACUUCGCACCAUCAUCAUUCAUUUCUCGGUCCUCGUGUUGUUGUAACUAGAAUGCCGACAAGUGAACCAUGAUGUGUGAAAUCAAUACUCCUAGCAACUGUGUUGCUUGGUAGUUAUGGACAUUAUGAUCAUUCUCAGCGUGUUGGUUAUCGAAUCACUAUUCUAGGAUUGAUCGUGCUACCUUGUCCUUAUUCCUGGUGCACUAUUUGAUCUUGGAGUUAGGAUUGAAUUCAUUGCUUAUUUGAUCAUAUCGUCUUGCCCUAAAAAGCAAGAUUGUUCUCGAGCUUAGUGACAUAUCGGUGGUUCGUGAUUUUCCGAAUAUCUUCUCGGAGGUAUCACCAGGCUGUCACCUGAUCGCUAUGUUGAGUUCGUGAUCAAGUUGGUUUCUUGUAGCCACCCUCUUCUCCAAGAAUCUAUGUUGGAUACCCCUGAGCUAGUUGGUUAAGCUUAACAACAACUUGGAGAGUUGGAAGAUAAAAGCUUGUCCUACCACGCUCAUCCCUAAGGGAUAUCUUUUAUCUGUGUUGAAGAAAGAUAAUACCUUCAUCGAUUGAUCCACGUGAUCAAUUGUCGGCGCUAUUGUCUUAUCAAUCCUUUGAUUUGAGUGUGGGCUAUCGUCAAAUCAAAUCAGAACCAACGAUGUUCGUAAUGUUGUCUUACUCAUGGUUGAUCCCUCGAGCAUACACCAUUACAUCCUUUGGUCUGACCAAUGCUAUCACCGUGUUCACAUGAUGGUGGAAGUCCAGUGAUAUGGAGAUUUCGAUGAGUUGUUGUUGAGCCCAUCAGCAGCAUUUUGUCUCCCCCAUGAUUCAAGUUGAACAUUAUACUAGUGUUGGAAACUUUAUAAGAAUUGCCCUCAUGUCCCGUUCAUGAAGCAUAUGUCUGGUUGAAAUAUGUGACUUCCUCUAAUUCAUGUGCAUCUGAUGCAAGUUGCCGCCGUGGAUUCGAGAAAGCUUGUUUUGCUUCCUUUGGAGUCAUCCCAAGGUAGUCAUGCAUGUGCGAAGUAUUCUAUGGUUUGAUAGGCUCGCUACCUCCAGUCCAUAUGUGUCCCUAGCACACCAAGCUACUAAUUGAUUUGUUCAAGGAGAAGAAGUUUCUUCUUAAGAGCUAGACUUACGCAAGGACUUCGAUAUCCUCGUUGAUGGUUCCCCUUGAACUCGGUAGUGUUUCAUUGUAAGACUACAAGGUGACCAUGCUUGUCUAGGACAGCGUGUUCACAUGCUUGUAGCAGAACCGGCUCAUGUUUUGGAGCUUACUACCGUAGUUCAUUCCCCCGAGAGUCUCGCAACGUCAUCUCGUCGAUUUGUGUUGCAAACUUUUGUUCUCCUUUCUAGACUUGAUGAGUCUAGAAUAUCCUGACACCAACCAGAUCUGAAUCUCAGGCAGAUAUGAUGGUUGGAACACACUCCAAGAACUAUAAUAUUGCUCUCUCUGUAACCGGUAAAGUGGAUGUCGUGGCCAACACACCCAGACGGAAGACCUAUUAUUGUAGUAUCUUGAUUGAGGAAGUUGGCCACCUCCCCAUAAGGAUUUCAUAGGAUUUACUCCAGAAGUUGUUCCUUAUGGAUCUAUUGUAUUCCGAAGUCCGACCACUACUUGAUGGCUAUGUUGAUGCUUUAAAGCAUGACCGUGGUAACCAGUACAUCAAGGAGAACAUUAGAAGCGGAAUGUUAAAUGUCUCUCAGUCGAUCAUCCAGAUUUCUUUCCCUUAGCCUCGCUAAGGUGAAAUCUGAGAAAGGGUUGUCCUUCUAUGCAUCUGCAUUGUCCAUCACUAUUCGUCAAGGUAGUAAGAUGUGUUGCCAGGAUCCUCGACUCGGAUGUUGGUAGAACCUUGAUGAAUAUGGAAAUGCUCAAGUUCUUGAGAGCACACGAAAUCACUAGGAUUUAUCGUCGGCAUUAAUUGGGAUAUGCUUCCAGUUUCCUCGGUUAUGCUAUAACCUUUCCGAUAGUGGAAUCUCUCUCUACUGUUGGGUUCUCCCCAGUUACUAGAAUCAAUCCCAACAUUUGCAUUUUGUCCCCAGCUUGCACCCACCAUUGUGCCCUUUCACUAUGAUCCGCCUUCUCAGCAGUUGUUGUCCAAGAUCAUCUUCAAAAAGUGGACCUACCAUGGGUCCCAUCCAUUUUUCGAUGAUAAGCAAAAUCAUCCAUUACGUUGUCUUCAACAAGGUAGUCCACAUCAUCCAUUCGAACUCCGCCAAACGAUCGUUUGUCAUUGACUUAGGCUGGCAUAAAGAGUUUCAGUGAUCGUUAUAUCAAAAGUAAUUCUUUUUGCCACUUAAGGGAAUAGCCCCGUUAGGUAAUCAUGGCAACUUAUCUCCUCGCCGCUUUGACACUCACUCACCAUCUCACCUAAGCGUGGGAUUGUUGCCUACCAAUUUGGACCUUCGUCAUAUGUCCCUCUACAUCCCUUUUGAUAUGCAUGUUUCAUGUCUCAGCUCAAGAGAUGUUUUAUAUCUCACCCCAAGAGUUGAUCUUGAGUUGCUCGAUCUUUGAGAAGAUCGAUUCAUGUAGAGUUCCUGUCUGUCAUCAUCGUGUUGGAUGCAGAUCUCGAAAGAAAGGACGCCAAGAUCGAUCCGAAGCAAUGGAUCAUGAAGAUCAUGUUAGUUGUGCCCUCUGUCUUCUUACCUCAUGUCUUGAAUCUCGGGGCGAGAUUCUUGUUUAGUGGGGGUGAGUUGUCACAGCCCUAGAAUUUGCUUGUUAUUAGUUGCAUUAAGGCAGUCAUGUCAUCAUGUAUAAAUUUCUCAGAAAGUUGAAAUGGGGAUGACAAACCCUAGCACCAAAAAUUAAAUCAAAUAGGGUCAGCCUUAAGCCUUUUCAAUAAACCCAAAAUGCCUUUAAAAAUGUUCAUCAUUUUUAGAAAAGGUUAAAACCUCUGACAAAAAUGAUGCGCAUGUUUCAAGGUCAUUCAUGGAUUUUUGAAUUAAAUCUUAUCGUAUUUGAAUUUGGGAUGUAAACACUAUAAAUAAUUUAAAUGCUCAAAUAAUGCUGAAUUUAAAUGUGGACCACUGGAAUAAUCCAUAGAGUGUCCACAAAUUAUUGCAGCAUUUUACAAAAUGCUUUAGUAUUUUUACUAAAGCCAAAACAACAGCAGAAAAAUAGAAAACAGAAGAAAAAUAGAAUAGGAAGGAAACCCACCUAACUUACCUGGCAGCCCAUCCGCAUCCCAACACUGUGCAGCCCAGCCCACCGCAGCCGCCACCGUCUUCAACCUCCUGCCAGUAGGCAGGAGGGCGUGUGCCCGACGCGCGUGCGCACGCGUCGGCCACCUCCUGCUUGCCUACACGCCGCUGGAUUCACCCGAGGGUGCCAUGCACCCUCCCUCGACCCUCUGCACCUCCUCCCUCAUCGCAGCUCUCUCCCCUCCCCUCGCUCUCCCGAAGCCGAGCGGAGCUCGUCGCUGCCGUACGUCGUAGAUGCGGCCUCCGUGCUCCCCUCGCCUCCCCGACGUGUCCAGGAGCAUCGCCACGCCUCCCUUGUCCUCUCUGUCCAGCCACGCCUCGCUGGAGGCCUUGCAUCGACGCCAUCUUCAUCGUCUUCGUCGCUGGCCACCGGAGAUGCCUCUCGCCGCCCCGCUCGCUCCGGUGCUUCCCCGAGCACGCCGAGGCCACCUCUGCAUCCACCGUGAGCCCCUGCCCCUAACCCCCUCCUCUACGCCUCAGUUGCGCCCCUAGACGCCAUCUCCACCGAGCCCGAGCACUCUGCUCCGCCGGCGACGCCGUCAUCGUGGCCACAGCCACGCGGGCUCGAAACCGAGCGCGUCACCGCGUUUGCCACACUCCCAGGAGGCCAUAGCCCCUCUCCACGCCCCUGUUGUGCAUCCCAGCACUGAACCCGAGCACGCCCGAGCUCCGGCCGCUGCCGCGAGCUCCGUUCCGGCGAGCUCCGGCGCCCCCACGGCCACCCACCUACCUCCCUAGAUGCGGGCGAGUCCGGGCUACGCCCAGAUGCCCUUAGCCACCGCCCUCGUCGCCUUUAGCGCGAGUCCGACGUGUUGCCGCCGCAGGUUUGGUCACCGCCGGCCAACUCCGGCGACAGCCGACGUGGCGGGGUCAUUAGUGCUAAUCCCCGCCAGUUGGACCUCACCUAGUCACUGACAGCGGGCCCCGCAGCGGGUCAAAGCCGUAGUCAACGCGGGAUUAGUUUCUAUCCCACUGACCAGUGGACCCCACUGAUCAGGUUUGACUCUGACCCGGUCUGUUGACCUGCUGACGUCACAACGAUGUCAUGCUGACGCAGUUAACCUUUUUCUGGAUUUAUUCUUAUUCAGGAAUUCCAGAAAUUAGUUUAAACUUCAAAAAUUCAUAGUAAUUCAACCGUAACUCCAAAUGAAACAAAUUAUAUAUGAAAAAUUAUUAGAAAAAUUCAAGGAAUCUGUUUAUGGCAUUUGCAUGCAUGUUUGAACAACCUAGGGUUGCUGUACAGGGCAAUUUGCAUAAUUGACAUUUAAAAUAAGCACAUAUGGAGUUUGAAUUUGAACCCUUGGUUCAAACCAACUUCAUUUAAUAUGAUUGCUAGUUGCAUUAGCUCAAUCAACAGCAUAUUGCCAUGACAUUAUCAUGCAUCAUAAUUGUUGCAUUGCAUUGAUUGUGUUCCUCUUUGUUUGCCGGCAUUUGUCCCCUCUCGAUAGACGUGGUUCCGACGAUGAGUUCGAUGACACCGAUGAAGAACUAUACUAUCUUCAGAAGUGUUAGGCAAGCAAAAACCCCUUGUUCAUUCUGAUACAAUCCCACUCUCUCGCUCCUGCUCUCCUUUACUGCAUUAGGACAACAACGAUUCAACUGUUACAUGCUGCGGUAGUUGAACCCCUUUCCUUUGCAUGACCUGUCAUUGCCACAGUAAAUAGAUGAAACCCACUAGCAUGAGUAGGAGUUGUUUGAGCCCUGAUGUGCCUACUCAUUCAUGUUUGCUUGUCAUGCCUGCUAUUUCUUAGAGUUGUGUCAGGUCUGAUUCAUCGGGGAUGAAUUGGAAAGUUGUGAACAUGUCCUACUGUGUGUGAGCUAAGUGUGUGAACACGAUUUGGUAAAGGUAGCGGUGAGAGGCCAUGUAGGAGUACAUGGUGGGUUAUCUCAUUGAAACCGUUCUCAGGAACUGAGUUCUGUGUUUGUGAUCCAUGAAACAGCUACUACCACACAUUGGGCCCUGAAAUAUGACCCCUCUCGACUUACUGACCCCUCUCGUCCUCUGUCCAGGAGUUGCAACUAGUUUCUGGUGUUUAUAGGAUAUGUGUUGGCGGUCGUGCGUAGCGCUGACCCUAGGGGUGGGCUAUGAUGCGGUAGAUACACCAUGGCACAGUGUACUGGGCACCCGUUUGGUGUCUUGGGAACCCUGCACACAUCGUUUGGAGCUGUGAGCGAAACUCCGGCCGGAUCUCCUCACGGAUGGAACCCGAAUAGGCGAUAAACAUGGACUAGAGACUUGUGCGGUUAGUUAGGUCAUGGUCUACACCCACGUCGGCUUUCACUUGAAGUCUGCCGAGCACAUGUCGUGUGCAGACGCUAAGUGGUGGAAACAUGUGUGACGAAGUACACCCCUGCAGGGUAUAAAACUAUUCGAAUAGCCGCGUCCGCAGUAAAGGACUUCUGGGUUGCCGAUAACAGUUCAUAGACAAGUGAAAAUGGAUACUCUAAAACUCGCAAGAUAAGUGUGAGUGCUAUGGAUGGCCUUCUCGUAGGGAGACGGGAGCGGAUCCAUAGUGGUGUAUUGAAUGGCGAAUAUGUGGACUUGUGUGCGCCACCUCAAAAGAGUUACUUGUAGUCGUAGUUUAAGAUAGCCACCGAGUCAAAGGUGGCUUGCUGUAGUUAAACUCCACCACCCCUCUUUGUUGAUACCGAUGCAUAUGUAGCUAGUUCUGAUGUAAGUCUUGCCGAGUACUUUUGUACUCACGUUUGCUUAAUUUAUGUUUUGCAGAGAGACUUCAGUCUCGCUAGUAGUUUCGCGUGGACUUCGACGUUUAGCUUGAUACCUCAGCUAUGAUCUUGUGCCCUCGGCAGGAUCUGGUAGAUAGUCAGGCUUCUCAGCCUUUUUCAUUUGUAGAUGUUUGUACUCAGACAUGUUAAGCUUCCGCAUGUGCUUUGAUUUGUAUGCUAUGAUUGUUGGGUCAUGAGACCCAUGUUUGUAAUAUCUCGCUCCUCGGAGCCUAAUGAAUAAUACUUGAGUCGUAGAGUUAUGUUGUGAUGCCAUGUUGUAUUUACACAUAUCGAGCAUAUUGUGUGUAUGAUUGAAAUGCUUGGUAUGUGUGGGAUCCGACAAUCUAGUUGUUUAUCCUUGGCAGCCUCUCUUAUGGGGAAAUGUAGUCUAGUGCUUCCAUGAGCCAUAGUAGUCCGCUACAGCCCGGUUCAACGGAGUCCGGCUAGCCCAACACUACUGCUCAGGACACUUGACUGGUCGGCAUGUGUUUCACUUCAUUCCUGUGUCUGUCCCUACGGGGAAAUGUCACGCGGUGACAUCCGGAGUCCUGUUAGCCCAGUGCUAUAGCCCGGAUUCACACGCUGCUGACCGACAUGCUCGAUGUGAUUCAUGUAUGCCUGUCCCCAUAGGUUGGUGCCGCUUUGGGUUCACGACUAGCCAUGUCAGCCCAGGUUCUCUGUCAUAUGGAUGCUAGCGACACUAUCAUAUACGUGAGCCAAAAGGCGCAAACGGUCCCGGUCCAUGGUAAGGCGACUCCCUUGGGAAUACCAUGCGUGAGGCCACAAAGUGAUAUGAGGUGUUACCGGCUAGAUCGAUGUGACUUGGAAUCGGGGUCCUGAAAGUGCACGAUUUUAAUUUUUUUACUGGAACGUCAAACGGUUCUGAAACUUCUUGCACUGUAUUUAUAUACAAUUUUUUUAUUUUCCCUAAUUUUGACAGAAUUUUUGGAGUACCAAAAGUAUGGUGAAUGUUCAAAUUACUACAGACUGUCAUGUUUAAGACAUAUUCUGUUUUUGAUGCAUAGUUUAUUUGUUUUGAUGAAACUAUCAAUUUCUAUCAGUGGAUUAAGCCAUGGAAAAGUUAUAUUACAGUAGCUACAAUGAAAAAACAAAAUAUGAAUUGGUUCGCAAUAGUACUUAGAGUAGUGAUUUGCUUUAUUAUACUAACGGAUCUUACCGAACUUUUUGUUAAGUUUUGUGUGAUUGAAAUUUUCAAGUUUUGGGAGAGAUCACAAUGGAUGAAGGAAUAAGGAGUUGCAAGAGCAUAAGCUUGGGGAUGACCGAGGCACCCUGAGGAAAUAUUCAAGGACUCCUAAGCAACCAAGCUUGGGGAUUCCCCGAAAGGCAUCCCCUCUUUCUUCUAACAAUCAUCGGUAAUUUUACUUGGAGUUAUAUUUUUAUUCGUCACAUGAUAUGCGUAAAUCUUGGAGCGUCUUUUGCAUUUAGUUUUCACUUUUCUUUUAUGCACCAUGCCGGUAUGAGAUAGUCCUUGGUUGAUUUAUAUAAUUCUCACUGCCCUUCACUUAUAUCUUUUGAGUAUGGCUUUAUAGAAUGCUUCAUGUGCUUCACUUAUAUCAUUUGAAGUUUUGAUUGCCUGUUUCUCUUCACAUAGAAAAUCGUCAUUUUUAGAAUGCUCUUUUGCUUCACUUAUAUUUGUUAGAGCGUGGGCAUAUCUUUUGUAGAAAGAAUUAAACUCUCUUGCUUCGCUUAUAUCCAUUUAGAGAGAUGAAAGGAAUUGGUCAUUCACAUGGUUAGUCAUAAAAUCCUACAUAAAACUUGUAGAUCACUGAAUAUGAUGUGUUUGAUUCCUUGCAAUAGUUUUGCGAUAUAAAGAUGGUGAUAUUAGAGUCAUGCUAGUGGGUAGUUAUGGAUAUUCUCGUAGCAUGCAUGUAUGGUGAACCGUUAUGUGACGAAGUUGGAGCAUGAGGUAUUUAUUGAUUGUCUUCCUUAUGAGUGGUGGUCGGGGACGAGCGAUGGUCUUUUCCUACCAAUAUAUACCCCUAGGAGCAUGCGGGUAGUACUUUGUUUCGAUGACUAAUAGAUUUUUGCAAUAAGUAUGUGAGUUCUUUAUGACUAAUGUUGAGUCCAUGGAUUAUACACACUCUCACCCUUCCAUCAUUGCUAGCCUCUUCGGUACCGUGCAUUGCCCUUUCUCAUCUCAAGAGUUGGUGCAAACUUCGCCGGUGCAUCCAAACCCCGUGAUACGAUACGCUCUAUCACACAUAAGCCUCAUUAUAUCUUCCUCAAAACAGCCACCAUACCUACCUAUCAUGGCAUUUUCAUAGCCAUUCCGAGAUAUAUUGCCAUGCAACUUCCAUCAUCAUCAUAUACAUGACUUGAGCAUUUAUUGUCAUAUUUCUUUGCAUGAUCGUAAGAUAGCUAGCAUGAUGUUUUCAUGGCUUGUCCGUUUUUUCAUGUCAUUGCUAUGCUAGAUCAUUGCACAUCCCGGUACACCGCCGGAGACAUUCAUAUAGAGUCAUAUCUUUGUUCUAGUAUCGAGUUGUAAUAUUGAGUUGUAUGUAAAUAAAAGUGUGAUGAUCAUCAUUAUUAGAACAUUGCCCCAUGAUCAAAAUAAAAGUGGCCGAAAAAGCCCCCCCACAAAAGAUAGAGGCCAAGAAGCCUAAAAAAGAAAAAGAAAUGAAAAAAGAGAAGGGACAAUGUAACUAUCCUUUUACCACACUUGUGCUUCAAAGUAGUACCAUGUUCUUCAUAUAGAGAGUCUCUUGAGUUAUCACUUUCAUAUACCAGUGGGAAUUUUCAUUGUAGAACUUGGCUUGUAUAUUCCGAUGAUGGGCUUCCUCAAAUGCCCGAGGUCUUCAUGAGCAAGCAAGUUGGAUGCACACCCACUUAGUUUCAGUUUGAGCUUUCAUACACUUAUAGCUCUUAGUGCAUCCGUUGCAUGGCAAUCCCUACUCCUCGCAUUGGCAUCAAUUGAUGGGCAUCUCCAUAGCCCGUUGAUUAGCCGCGUCGAUGUGAGACUUUCUCCUUUUUUGUCUUCUCCACACAACCUCCAUCAUCACAUUCUAUUCCACCUAUAGUGCUAUGUCCAUGGCUCACGCUUAUGUAUUGCGUGAAAGUUGAAAAUAUUUGAGAACAUCAAAAAUAUGAAACAAUUGCUUGGCUUGUCAUCGGGGUUGUGCCUGAUUUGAAUAUUUUGUGUGAUGAAGAUGGAGCAUAGCCAGACUAUAUGAUUGUAUAGGGAUAACUUUCUUUGGCCAUGUUAUUUUGAAAAGACAUGAUUGCUUUAUUAGUAUGCUUGAAGUAUAAUUGUCUUAAUGUCAAAUGAUAGACUAUUGCUUUGAAUCACUCAUGUCUUAAUAUUCAUGCCAUGAUUAAAUUACAUGAUCAAGAUUAUGCUAGGUAACAUUUCACAUCAAAAAUUAUCUUUUUUAUCAUUUACCUACUCGAGGACGAGUAGGAAUUAAGCUUGGGGAUGUUGUUACAUCUCCGUUGUAUCUAUAAUUUUUGAUUGUUCUAUGCCAAUAUUAUACAACUUUCAUAUACUUUUGGCAACUUUUUAUAUUAUUUUUGGGACUAACAUAUUGAUCUAGUGCCCAGUGACAAUUUCUGUUUGUUGCAUGUUUUCUGUUUCGUAGAAAAUCCAUAUCAAACGGAGUCCAAACGGGAUAAAAACUGACGGAGAUUUUUUUUGAAAUAUAUGCGAUUUUUGGGAAGAAGAAUCAACGCGAGACAAUGACCGAGGGGGGCACGAGGCAGGGGGCACGCCCUGGGCCCUUGUGGCCACCCCGUAAGGCGCUUGGUGCCCUUCUUUCGCCUCAAGAAAGCUAAUAUCCGGAUAAAAUCGUGUCCAAAAUUCAGCCCAAUCGGAGUUACGGAUCUCUGGGAAUUUAAGAAACGGUGAAAGGGCAGAAUCUGAAACACAGAAACAGAGAGACAGAGAGACAGAUCCAAUCUCGGAGGGGCUCUCGCCCCUCCGCCGCCAUGGAGGCCAUGGACCAGAGGGAAACCCUUCUUCCAUCUAGGGGGAGGUCAAGGAAGAAAAAGAAUAAGGGGGGCUCUCUCCCCCUCCCUCCCGAUGGCGCUGGAACGCCGCCGGGGCCAUCAUCAUUACCGCAAUCUACACCAAUAACUUCACCGUCAUCAUCACCAACUCUUCCCCCCUCUAUGCAUCGGUGUAAUCCCUCUUUUACUCAUUGUAAUCUUUACUUAAACAUGGUGCUCAACGCUAUAUAUUAUUUCCCAAUGAUGUAUGGCUAUCCUAUGAUGUUUGAGUAGAUUGUCCUAUGGGUUAAUUGAUGAUCGUGAUUGGUUUGACUUGCAUGUUUCAUUAUUAGUGAUGUCCUAUGGUGCUCUCCGUGUCGCACAAGCAUGAGGGAUCCCCGCUGUAGCGUUUGCAAUAUGUUCAUGAUUUGCUUAUGAUGGGUGGCGUGAGUGAUAGAAGCACAGACCUGAGUAAGUAGGUUGUUUGUGUAUGGGAGUAAAGAGGACUUGAUGCCUUAUAAUGCUAUGGUUGGGUUUUACCUUAAUGAUCUUUAGUAGUUGCAGAUGCUUGCUAGAGUUCCAAUCAUAAGUGCAUAUGAUCCAAGAAGAGAAAGUAUGUUAACUUAUGCUUCUCCCUCAAAUAAAAUUGUAAUAAUGAUUACCGGUUUAGUUAUCGAUUGCCUAGGGACAAAUAACUUUUUUAUAUGACAACAAGCUCUUUAAUAAACCUAACUUAGUUGUGUCUUUAUCUAAACAACCCCUACUUUUUAUUUACGCGCUCUUUAGUAUCUUUCAAAACUAUCCAACAACACCUACAAAGUACUUCGAGUUUCAUACUUGUUCUAGGUAAAGCGAACGUCAAGCGUGCGUAGAGUUGUAUCGAUGGUCGAUAGAACUUGAGGGAAUAUUUAUUCUACCUCUAGCUCCUCAUUGGGUUCGACACUCUUACUUAUCGAAAAAGGCUACAAUUGAUCCCCUAUACUUGUGGGUUAUUAGGGUGCGGCUGGAGGGGGAAGGGGGCGGAUAGAAAAAGGAACCCCUGUACCACCGACGGUCGUGUGAUAGCCUGGCUUAUUAGGGAUGAUAGACUACUCAUAUUUUCGGGAGCCCAUUCGAACAGAACUUCAAAGUUAAGCGUGCUCAGCUUGAAGUAGUUUCAGGAUGGAUGACCGACUGGGAAGUUACUUUCGGGUGCGCACGAAUGAGGACAAAGUGCACAGAAUAGACUAGUAUUGAUCUGUAGGGCCUGUCUAGAUCCCGCUAGGAGUAACGACCACCGACGAGUGUGUUCAGGGCAUUACAAAUUGAUAUCAGAGCCGAUCCUCGCGGUUACACGGAUGUUUACAGACAGAUGCGCGGUCAUGUUAUGCAUGACGCUUGUGACCCAUCGGAGCACAUGGCAUGGCACAUGUGCCGGACAGGAAGCACAAACAUUUGUGUCAAGAGAGAACGUUUAUGUGGCCUGACGAGGACGUCGGUUUUUUUUUUGAGUGGGGGUGUAUACGUUUAUGUCAAGAGAGAACGUUUAUGUGGCCCGACGAGGACGCCGGUUUCUCUGAGUGGGGGUGUAUGUGAUAGCAUGACUUAUUAGGGAUGAUAGACUACUCAUAUCAAUAAUGAAUUCUUUCUUUUCUGAGAGUUCAUUUGGACAUAACUUUAAAGUUAAGCGUGUUCAGUUUGGAGUAGUUUCGAGAUGAGCGAUCGACCGGGAAGUUACUCUUAGGUGCGCACGAGUGAGGACAAAGUACACAGAAAAUACUAAUAUUGAUUUGUGAACCAGUCUAGAUCCCGCUAGAAGUAACGACUACCGACAGAUAUGUCCGAGGCGUUACAGGGCGAGCAAAGGCAAAGGAAAGACAAACACACACGGCCCGCCCUUUCGUGCGCUGUCCAUUACGCUGCAAAAACGACCCAAGUUUGAGUCGGGAGUGAGUCAAAGGUGGACAAAAAUGCACAUCCCUGCGUUGGAUAGUCACGACCCAAGUUUGAGUCGAAAAUGAGUCAAAAGUGAACAAAAAUGCACAUUCCUGCGUUGGAUAGUCUGGUAUGUCAUUUUACCUUAAACGGACGCCUCCAAACAAAUUGGGGUCACGUGCUGGAGUUGGCCUAAGGACAGCCUCCGCCACCUAAGGACAGCCUUCGCCGAUGCGGCGGAGAGGCUUGCCAUGCAUCUCGACGGAUGCACCAGCCUACGCCCUCCGGCGAUGGGGGCGAGGGAAGGAGCGGCGACCGCGAUUAGUUUUUUUCCCUCGUUAACCUUUUUUGGUAAUUGUUCAGUUAACUUUUUUUUUUGAGAAACCCAAGAAAUUGUUCAGUUAACUGGGCGGGAAGGAAAUAGCUGACGCCCGGACCAGAUCGUCCUCGGCUGUCACCUAGCCCACUAAUGAACUAGUACUACGUGGAUUGGACUGUGAAUGAAGAUGCCAUCGCUGGCCUGAAGCCCAUCUAAAUGAGCCUGGUAUAGAACAAAUCGCCCACAAACACGAUCUUAAAAUGGAAGGUACCCUAAAAAAAUCUGAAACUUCCCACCAAACCGCCGACGCCAAUCUGAACCUAAGGCUCGUAGCAUAAGUUCAUUUCUGGUCAGCAAGCUGCAAAACCUUGUUUAGAAACGUGACGGAUUAUUUCAUCUUCGUUGAGUUUCAUCAUCGAGAAGUGCCUUCAUAAUAUACUCCCUUCAUGGCCGGCUUCAUCUUAGGCAGCGCUUUCUCGACGGGGUGGGCCAUUCUUGGGCUUUGGUAACGCUUUCAAGGACGUGUUGUAGUGUGUUAAUUCUUUUUCUUUGAAUGUGUCUUCUUUAGACUGGCCAUAUUGUACUUGGAACGGUAGUAAAGUAAUUUCAUGAACAAUUGUAAGUAAUUGGUACUCUCUCGACUACAUAACGAGUACAUAGGAAUGAGCGUGCGUACAUAGGAAUGAAUCUGUGAUUAAAAAAAUACUACUAUACAUCGUUUAUUGAAUAGAAGUUAGUGUGGAGUUUUCGCAGACACGGCCACUAUUUAUUUAUCAACUCAUAUAUCCGGGGAUCAUUGGCUACAGAACGUACAUACAUGCCAAAAUUUUGCAGCCAGGGUACAUGGAUUACGAUCGAGCUACAUAUAUAGAGGGGCUACGGCGGCUACAAUCCAGGGACCAAAAUUUUGUAGCCAGCCGUACGUACGCCAUGUCCGUGCGAGCACGAAGACAUGCAUGCAUCAACGCUACUACGUAAGCUGCAUCCUUCAACCUAGCCUACUACCACGUACACCCAUAGCACUACGUACUAACUUACAGUACAUCCACACGUACGAUAUAUAUAUAUAUAUAGGAGGGCCGGCCUGUGAGGCCGUACAUCGUCUACCUCGCUCGAUCAU
rnacentral:lncRNA from 1 species